GGGAAAUAUAAGAACGCGGUCAAGACGCUCGCGCCGGAAGUGAAGAAGUAGUAACAAGGGAUGCUGAGCUCACGUGCGACGCUCAGAGCUGAAGCGCAGAAGAAGUCGAUGAUGAGGCCGUGAACGAUGUGGUUCUUGGAGAUGGAGGUGAGGGCGGCGUGGACGUUGGGGUUGUUGAGGCGGAGGAGCUCGAGGGCGAGGUCUCGUGGUAGGGGAGAGUGAUGUAAAGUCUGUGGGAGGAAGCUGGGGGGAAGGUGGUGAAUGCUGAUCGAGGGCCGGGCGGUGGAGACGGAGGCGAUGUAGGAGGUGGUGGAGCCGGCGUUGUAGGCCUGGCUGGUGAUGAGGACGUGGAUGGAGAGGGAAGGGCGGUGGGAGAGGAGGAGCUUGCCCAGCUCCACCAUGGAGAUGAGGUGGCCGAUGGCUGGCGAUGGAUACAGCACCACUGCCUCCUCCAUCUGAUGUGUACGAGAAAAGCGGUGUCGAGAGAGAGAGAGAGAGAGAGGGGGAGAGGGAGAGGGAGAGGAUUCUUGAAAAUGCGUGUGAUGCGUUGCACUUUUGUGGGAAAGCAGGCAUAGGAUCGGUUGUUUUCUUUUUGGGCUAUUAAUUAUGUGGAAUUAGUUUGAGUUUCACACCUGCUUUUUCCGAGCAGAAUAAUCAGUGGGGAAGCACUUCUUUGAAUUUUCAGCUACGUCAUUUUCUAUCUCUACUUUUACUCGGCCAAAAGUAGGACCAGAGUCGGUAGAAGGCGAUGGCGAGAAAUGAGUCAUUUUUUGUCUCACAUAUUUCGCGGAGAUGUCUAGAAUCCACGGUUGUUGAAGAAGGAUGGAAUGUUGGAGUCAAAACUGAGAAGGAGAAAAACUAAAGGGUGGGCCCCCGUACACGUGAAUUGACCAGAAGUCGAAUGUGAACUGCUCGGCACUUGUCAAGUGUGCAGUAUUUUCCUGAGAAAAUAGUACGUAUAUUUGUGUGAACUGCCAGCGGAACAGAAAAGAAAGGACGCAAGCUUCCGACACGUAUUCAAGUGAGGCCGAAACUAUCAUUACAACACUCUCGCAACGGUCAAAAGCCAUGACUCACCAAUAUUCUCCCUCCCUCCCUCCCUCUCGAACAGUAUAGGCCAAAAAUCGAAUCUCGAUACAGGUCUCUCUGGUUGGGAAUUGGCCGAAUCGUGCGCUCGGAAGCUCAUCGUGGAGGUUUGCCACACCAAGAACUUGAUGCCCAAAGACGGCCAAGGCACCGCGAGCGCCUAUGCCAUCGUCAACUUCGACAGCCAGAGGCGGUGGACGAAGACCAAGUUCCGGGACCUAAACUCGCAGUGGGACGAGCGGGUCGAGUUCCCCGUCCACGAUGCAGAGUCCAUGCCCUCAGAGAUUCAGGAGAUCAAUCUCUGCAAUGAUAAGAAGACCGGCAAGUGCAACAGCUUCCCGGGCAAGGUGAAGAUUGCUGGGAGGGGAAGGCGCCGAUCAGACGAGGGCUUGGUAAGAGAGAGAGAAGCGUGCAGGGGAGGAAAGUAACAUUUAGGCCCACUUAGACACGUGUUGGAAGUUCAUGUACCUUCUUAUUUGUUGCGCAAUAGUUUCUCAUAUUUUCAUCAUAAGGCAAGAGAGUGGGAGAAAGCGACUCCAUGUCCUUGCUUCCGACUAUGAAAAGUCGAUUUGUCUUUUGGGAUAGCUUUUGGCUCACCGCAACUGAUUUAGAUCGUUACCAAACUAUAUAUUAUAAUAUGACUAAUCCAUGAAUCAAUAUUGUGAGUGAGUCAUGGUACUCGUAGACCUAGCAUAAUUCUUUUUUUCACUAUAGAUUGCCGUGCGUAUUUGUCUUUUUAUAGUUUCACAUGUUCACUGUCAUAAAACUUGCCCGGGAAAAUGUGAAUAUAACCCGGUGCAACUUGUGCGAACUAGAUAGGUUCUAGAAUAAAUGAAAGUGGUUGUCUGAUUCAAUUUUGAUUACCAAUGGUUUUAAGUACGUACUAGGACAUUAAAAGUGUCGUUCAUAUUACACUUACUUUAAUUCUAAGCAUAUUGUAUAUGUAUCAAUUCAAUUCUAAAAUUUUAAGUUGUUUCAAUGUAAUCAUAAGCUUUUGAUAAUUUGUCAAUUUAGUUAUUCCUGCUAAUUUUGGCAUAAAAAUAUUGGCAUGAACAAUUUUCUGCAUUAUGUAAAACUUUUUUUCUGAACUUUUUGUCUUUAUUCUUUUAUUCUUUCCUCUCUCUUUUUUUUUAUUCCAACUCUUGGCUAGUGAGGUCGCAAAGAUAGCUAGCCACAAGUGAGGGCGUUGGACCCUUGCCCAAACCUGGAGAGAGUGCCAUGGCCCUCAUCGCCCCUCAUGUUUGGCUAGCUAGGGAGUUGGAAAAGGGAAAUUAAAAAGGAAGUUAAAAAAAUAAAAUGUAAGGAUAAAAAUAAAAAAAAUUGUCUACGUUAGCGUCUAGUUAAAAAUUGUUGAAAUGAAAAUUAACAAAUCGUUAAAAUGUUUAAGACUAAAUUAAUAGGAUUGAAAGAUUUAGAAUUUAAUUAGCAGAUCGCAAAAAGAUUUACAACUGAAUUAACGCAAAUGUAAUAGAUUUAUGACCUUUUUUUUUUUUUUGCAUUUCUCCUCUUUGGGUGUACUAAAACAACUGAGAAGGUUAGGUAUGAUGUAAUUGAGUGUACAAUCAAGAAACAUUAGAGGACGUAUAUAAUGUGACCAGAUUACUUCAAACCUAACUACUUGUCACAAUUAAAAUUGUUAGGUAUUGAUGUAAUUGAGUGUACUCAACCUUUCGGCAAAUUUUCUUCUUUGGGCUUUCAUUCGGUUACGUAAACAAAAUAGAAUCGAACCCGAUGUGCCGUGCAAAUCUCUUUCAUAGGCGAAGGGGAGUAAGAAUUGUCUUCAAAAUAAAGACCCUGGCAGCCCUGCCAACAAGUGAACUACACAGUGUAUACAUCACAUGUAGGAGUCUCCCCUUCUUUGCUUAGAUGACAUCGUAGGAGGUGCAACCUCAGAUAAAAAAGGCCAUCGUCUGACGUUAAAAGCUACCACUUCCAAGCCACUAAUGCAACCCAGGUCCAAGUUAGUAUUUCUUGUUGGAUUGGGCCUGAGGGUCGAACAAAUGGACUGGUGCGUGUGCAUUGCGCGAGCGUGUGAGGGUCAUUUUGUUUUGAGAAAAAUAGGCUGACUAAACCUGUGAUAAGUGAACUUACAUACCUAACCAUAUAAACUCUCAACGACUUGUCUGGGCCACCACGCCGCCGCCGCCACCGCCGCCCCCCAUGGUUAGGUCUGACUUUUGAGGUUUCGGCUUUACAUAUUGUCCAUUCAGCGGCGGUCUGGACCACCACGCCCCCCCCCACCAACCAACCAAAUCCAAUACAGUGACGCGGCUACAUGAUCCGAGGAAAACUACUAAUUUCCAUUCAAUGCAUAUCAGCAUGAAGCUAGAUCUCUAUAUAUUAUGAAAUAAUUGCGGAUUCACUCCGUCACUUUGAUAAUAAAAUCCAUUGUUUUACGUGAUCUAUGUUAAAUAAGGAGAAAAGUAUACUACAAGUGCCAUAACUUUGUCCAAAGAAACACUUAAGUGCCAUAACUUAUUAAAGGUACACUUAAGUGCCACAUUUGAAGAAAAGUGGGACACUUGAAUGCCACCUCCGGCGAAGCCUGCUGGGAAUCAUACGUAGCAUUUAAAUAUUAAUAUUUCUCGUCAAGGGGGCUCGCCGGAGAAUUGAGUCGGCUCUAAUUCACCCAAAACGACAUUGUUUCCAGUGUUGGCUAAAAUAAAACCCUUAAAUCGGCCAAAAAGAUGUCAUUUUGGCAAAUUUGAAUUUUAAUAUAAUUUUAAAAUUAAUUAAAUUAAAUUAAAUUUAAAAUAAUAAUAAUCAUAUAAAUUAUAUUUCUUUAUUAAAAUAAUAAUAAUGAUAAUUAUAAGAGUAUUUAAAAAGAAAAACAACCCCCGAAACCGAGGAGGAAGGAGGCUUCUGUGGUUUAGGGCUAAACCCUUCACGCCACCCACCCAUCUUCCUCGGUUGGAAGGUNNNNNNNNNNNNNNNNNNNNNNNNNNNNNNNNNNNNNNNNNNNNNNNNNNNNNNNNNNNNNNNNNNNNNNNNNNNNNNNNNNNNNNNNNNNNNNNNNNNNCAUUCAAUUAAAUGAGAGUUGAUUUUGGGAGCUUCUACCAUAUAUGACCACAAGUGACCUGUUGAUAUUAUGAUGCUCUGGCUAAGGUCUCCGCCGCCUCCCCCCCACUAUGGCAAUGUUCCAUCGACGAGAGUGAGAGGGUCAACUAAGGUCGCCAGUACCCUAGCUAGAGGCUGACUACCCUGGCUGUCUAAUCGCGAGAGCUCUCGAUCCUCGGCACGAUCCAGGCGAGGGUUGCAGCCCUCACCCAGAUCCGGCGAGGGUCAACGACCCUCGCCCGCCCAGGCCAAGGGCUGCCGCGCGCUAGGGGUUGCCUCAGCGGGCGGUGGCCCUUGGCUUGGCCGGGCGAGGGCCGCCGACCCUCGCCGGAUCUGGGUGAAGGCCGCAACCUCGCCCUGAUCUGGGGCGAGGGCUCACGAGCUCUCGCCAUUAGUCAGCCAGGGUCGUCAGCCUCUAGCUAGGGCCCGGCGACCUUAGCUGACCCUCCCCCCUUCGUCGAUGGCCCUUCCCAACAACGGUGGGGAGGCAGCGGAGCCCUUAGCCACCUCCCCCCAUUUUCUUUUUUUAAAAUUUUAAAUUAUUUUUUUUUAAAUUUUAUACUAAAUUUAAUUUUAAAUUUAAUUUAAUUUAAUUAUUUUUUAUAUUAUUUUUUACCACGUCAGCCCAAAACGACACUGUUUUUUUUCAUUAUUUGGUCACGUCAGCGUGCAAAAUGACGUCGUUUUGCACUUAUUUUGCUGGAAAAAUGCCACGUAUGCAAUUUGGCCGGAUUGACAGUCAAGUGAGCCAUUUUGCUCUGAUUUUGGCACUUAAGUGUACCUUUCGUAAGUUAUGGCACUUCGGUGUUCCGCGUUUCGUUAAAUAAGUUUAGUCGGUUUGAUGUUUAGACUACGCUCGCUCAAAGAGAUAUCUCUGAAUUCAUGGCAUACCUUAUCACUUUGCAUAUUUCUUGAGCACCUUCGUCUUCUGGGUUAGUUUAAUUCAAUGCACGAUCCACUUUCGUAAUUCUAGAUAAGUUUCCCCACUUGUACGACAUAAUCCUGGUGUGUGAUAAUAAGAAAUCGCAAGAUGACACUUUUAAGUCCGAUUUUAUUUUAUUAAAAAAAAAACUCUAGCCAUUCAUAGCUUUAGCACCUCGAAUUUGAGUUUACAUACCAAGAUGUAACAUAUUUAAUCUAAGAUCCUAAGGAUUCAAUUUAGCUCUUGGGCUAGUUGAGUUCGCCAUUGUUAGAGAGCUUGAAUUAGGCUCGUCCAUUUUACAAUCCCUUAAAAGAUGUAAUCAAGGCCCAACUAAAAUAAGGUUUACAAUGGAUAACGUUCAUUUUACUUUGAUCUUUUGUUUGCUCGACUAAAAUAAGAUGAGACUAACAUGAUAUUUCUACGGCUAUAUAAUAGAUAAGAAAAUAACUAAUCCAAAAAAUUGAUUAUUUUUUUGGUCGAACAGAAAAAUAAUAAUCAAUUUAGAAGAAAGGAAAAUAGCGAAGUACAGAAUCCUAAACUCCAAACCCAACUCACCGACCCACGGGCACGCUCUUUCCAGCCUAGUAGGUCCACGUCACCACUUGCAUGUUGUCCAUCAACGACGCGUCGUUCUCGACCCUAAAGCAAACCUCGAUUUUAUGACGAGAGAUCCUCGGGUGGAUAGGUCGGCCCGCAUGAGAUGAUUAUAGCUCUCGGAGUAAUGAGUGAACAUGCGACCCGAAACUACAAUAAUAUAUACAUAAAUAUAUAUAUAGCGACAGUUUCGAUUUAAUAGUGUUAUCAGUUAUGUUGUAAUUGUGCUAUAAAGUGCUGUAAUUAUUUAUUACUUUUAUAUAUUUUGAAACUGUAGUACAUUAGAGUCGAAUGAGACGAUUUCCGUUGAGGCUAAGUUUUUCUCCACAAGGGUACAGUUUUGGCCUGCAAAACGACCACCCGAAAGUGGAGAUACAACUACAAUUCAAGAAAAGAUUCAAACAUUUCUCGUCCGCCCUGUGGACAUUUAUUAAUUUAGAAGAGACAGAUCAAGCACGUGCGACUGUGUUCGUUGUACGUCAGUUUCGCCCCCAUUAAAUACUGCAAAAUACCAAAAAGACGAUAAUAGAAAAGAUUCAUCGACAGACGAACGACGCAAACGACGAAGACGACCCACAAAGUCCGGCGUGUUUCACUCGCGCUUCCACGAAUCGACGAGUCCGGCCAGCGCCGACCAAGACGACCCGCCGGGGCUUAGCGCGGCCUUUGCUUCUUCCUUCAUGACCAGCACUCGCUCUCUCACCAUCUUGCCCUCCUCACUCUCCAUCAACUCUCUGACUCGCUUCUCCACCUCCUCCGAACUCACCCACCCGUCCUCUGACUUGUCCACCGGCAGCGCGAUUUUCGUCUCCUGCACCAGCACCACCCUGGUGUGCCCCUGCUCCGCGUAAAGCGGCCACGCCAGCAUCGGCACGCCAGCGCACACCGCCUCGAGCACCGAGUUCCACCCGCAGUGAGUCACGAACCCCCCCACCGACGGGUGGCUCAGCACCGCCACCUGCGGGGCCCAUUUCUUGACCACGAGCCCCCUGUCUUUGGUACGUUCCAGAAAGCCCUCCGGAAGCAGCGACCCCAAGUCCAAGUCGGGCACCUCUGACGUGGCGGCCUUUUGGUUCUUGUCCUUUGUCGGGCUCCGGACCACCCACAAGAACCGCUGACCACUCCUCUCCAGCCCCGUCGCUAUUUCCUUCAGCUGUUCCACCGAGAACUCGCCCAUGCUCCCGAAACACAGGAACACGACGCUCCCUCUCGGCUGCGAGUCCAGCCACGUCAGAGACUCUGGUGAUCUGCCGUCGUCGCCUCCCCUGCUAGAGAUCAGCGGCCCGAUGCAGUAAAGCGGCGGAGUGGGCCUGCCGGGCACACACUCGCCGUCCCUGAUGGCUCCUAUGACUCUUGGCUCGAGCUUCUCGAAGGUGUUGACUAUGAUUCCAGCUGAGGUCUGCAUCUUCAGGGACGAAUCCAAGAAGCCCUUGAAGGCAUCGUCAUAGCGAUCCUGCAACGGCUUCAAAACAUCGGAGGGCUGUAUCGGCGGUGUGCCGGGGACAUCUAUGGGGGCGUCAAAGUCUUUAACGCUUAUGGCGAAGUUGUCGUGAAGAGUUGGGAGGUAAAGGAAGAAGUUAAGGAAACAGGCGCCCGAAGUGAAGAAAGAGUAGCAGGGGAUGUUGAGCUCACGCGCGACGGUGACAGCGGCGGCGCAGAAGAAGUCGACGACGAGGCCGUGAACGACGUGGUCUGUGGAGAUAGAGGUGAGGGUGCGGUGGACGUUGGGGUUGUUGAGGCGGAGGAGCUCGAAGGCGAGGAUCUCGUGGUUGGGGGAGGUGGUGGAGAAGUCCGGGGGGAGGGUGGUGGCAGGGAAGAAGUGGAAGGCGAUGGAAGGGUCGGCGGCGGAGACGGAGGCGAUGUAGGCGGUGGUGGGGCCGGCGUCAUUAGCUUGGUUGGUGAUGAGGAUGUGGAUGGAGAGGGAAGGGCGGUGGGUGAGGAGGAGCUUGCCGAGCUCCACCGUGGAGAUUAUGUGGCCGAUGGCCGGCGCUGGAUACAGCACGAUCGCUUCCUUCAUUGCUUGGGCUUGUUGAUGUUCUUUUCACACGACGUUGAAGCUCUCUGAGGCCGACGGUUGUGGGGAGAUUGGUCUGUUCUAUUGUACUCCUCACAUCGAGGGGGAAUCAUAGUAUGGUCCAUCGAGGGGGGAUCACAUAGUAUGGUCCAUCGAGGGGGUAUCAUACAGUAUGGUCCCUCGUAAUUCUAAAUUUCCAAUACUGUCAGAUGCAUAACGAAAUGGAUGACGCAAUUUAUUUUUGUGAGGUCAUAGUAUGGUAUGGGCCCAAUAUUGUUCGGAUCUAGAACGUGGAAAAUGGCGGCCCAAGGAAAUAUGACUGUUGAAAGCCCGUUUGAUAUAUGUAUCAGGUUCAAUGAAUAUUUCGGUCUAUAAAUCAUGUCGACUAGGCUCAUUCCAAACACUGGCGAGACGUGGUCCUAUAGUAAGACCCAUAUAUAUUUAAUUGUUAAAAUGAUAUAGAGAAAUGAUAGCAAUGGUAUUUACUAGUCUCUUCUGAACCAUAAAAAAAAUUAAUGAGAAAUAAUUAUAAAUUAUUAUGAGGUAUCAUGCCGUUAAGAAUUUAUAGUUCAAAAUAUGCCGUUACUGUAACAAUAACUCAACAACUAUUAUGCUAAUAAAACCUGAUAAUAUAUGAUCCUCGUGAUUUAUAGACUAUAUAUGGAAUAGCUUCUCGUUAGUUUAGGCUAGCAUUUCAUUUGAAUACUUCGUAAAUUUGGUCAUUUCGUCAUCAUAUUUUGAGUGCUAUGUUAAUGAUAUUAAGAUCUUUUACCUUUUCUUAUUUUAAAUGAUGAUAAAUUUGUAAUGAUUGUUUAAACUAGUGAGACUCCUCACGACUUUAGAAAGGACAUUUUAAAAGCAUUGAUUGUAUUGUGUCAACCAAUCUCCAUUCUUUAUAUGGAUGGGGGGUUGAUUCUUGAUCGAGUGAGGGUGACAAAGAAUAACUGAGCUCAUACAACUUCUUUUUUAAAAUAAAAAAAAAAGAAGAGAAAAAGAAUUGAUGUUUUUGCAAUUCCAACACGACAAUGCGGUAGAUCCCUAAUCGUGACCAUAAUUGCAAAAGCUUGCCCGAGAGACACAACUUCACCGACCGGGUGAAAGUAGCAUAGGGACAUCAUUAGAGGAAAGACGAGCGGUGCAUAAUCUUUCUUCCCUUGGGGCACUCAGCUUCCCAUGGAGAGCGGGAGAGCUAUAAAUUGUUGGAAGUGGAAUUGCCGCUACUAACUCAGAACCUGGCUACUGAGAAAAUACUACGUAAUCGGCUUGUUUGACAGCUCAAUUCAUACUGGGCCAAGCGUGGAAAAUCGAGGGUCUUUUCUUUCGAUCUCGAUUUAUCGAUUAUACGAACUUGUAAAUUAUGUGCAUGUAGAUUACGUAAACAUUGCACCUACUCUCGCCCAAAGGCUGAAAUUUCAAAUAGUGAUUUUAGACAUUUGAAAAUGCACCGAGUCAAUUUAAGAGGAAAAGAACAUGCAAAAGUGCAUCCAAACACCGUGUGCUUAUUUUCCUUUUCCUUUGUUCCCCUUUCAAUUUUGGUUAAACUAGUCGUGCUCCAAUUUGAGUAUUCCUUUAGAUUUCAAAGUGUUCGAUGCGCGGUCUUUGAAUCAAAUUGCAUCUCUUCAGAAUCAUUUAUAUUGACCGACGCACGCAGUAGGUAGAAAAAGAAAAUGAUAGAGGAUUGUUCUAAAAGAAAAUGAUAAAGGAUUGUUCAUGAAGAGUGUGGUAAAAAAAUCAAUCAUAGUGCUGCUAGAUACAAGUUUAUAUAUACGUCAAUAAUGAUGAUGAGGAUGAUGAUUAUGCGAUGGAAUGUGUGAUUUGUGACGUAAUUCCUAUAUAUAUAUCAGUAAUGGCACCUCAUUUCUAAGGAUGCUUUUGAAUUAUUUUUUCACCAUUCUAGUAGUUAAUAGGGGAAAAUUGUCAAAAAGUUCUAAAUUUAUUAUACUUUUGUCAAUUAAGUCAUAAAACUUUCAAUUUUACUAAUUUAAUUCUAAAUAUUUUUACCUCUUAUCAAUUGAGUAUAUCUGGCUAUUUUUUUAUUGGAAAUUACUGACAUGACCAGUCGGCGCUAAUGUAGCACUUUUUAAUAAUAUUUUUAAAAUUUAAUUUUUUUCCUCUUUUUUUUUUUUUUUUUGGGUUUGGCUUUAGGGCGGGCAAGGUUAUUGGCCAACCCCAGCCACAGUCGAGGGCUGACGACCCUCGUCAGCACUAGGACAGGGCCGUUGUUGCCCUCACUAGAUUUGGCCAGGCAAGGAUAGCAACCUUGCUCGGGGCCCUCACUUAGGGCUGGCAAGGGUUCGUUAGACAAAGUCAAAGUGCUUGAUCCUUUGCCCCAUGGUCGGCCUUAAUGCCAAACCCAAAGAGAGAGAGAGAGAGAGAGAGAGAGAGAGAGAGAGAGAGAGAGAGAGAGAGAGAGAGAGAGAGAGAGUAAAAUUAAAAAUUAAAAAUUAAAAAAAUUAUUAAAAAACACUAUGUCAACGUCAGCCAACCAUGUUAGCAAUUUACAGGCAAAAUUGGCUAUAUGGACUCAAUUGGUAAGAAAUAAAAAUAUUUAAAACUGAAUUGAUAAUAAUACAAUAACUUUUGGACAAUUUUUUGUAGUUGGUCGCCAUGGACCAAAAUCAUUUCUAGUUAAGAAGCCGAAUAUCGUCAUUUUAGAUUUUGUAAAAUUUCGUUAUCACGCAAACAAUUUUGCUUACUAAAAAUAGCUAUUAUUAUUUAAGCUUUGAGGCUAAAUAUCCUCAUUUAAGAUUCUGCCAAAUCUCACAAUCAAGAAGGUACUUUUUUCUCAUCCAAAGCAAUCGUGGAUUUUUCAGUGACCUCGUUCAAAAAAAAAAUCUUGGCUUGCCCACUGGAGCGAUGGAUGUACAUGUAAGCGAUAUUAAGACUUGCAUGCACACACGGUUCGACAACAGCAAUGUUAAUGCUGGAAUUAUUUAUUAUUUUGGACAAGUCCUACCGCUUGCGCGACAAAAGCCUGGUGUAUCUAUAUAAGAGAUCGCAAGGGGAAGCUUCAAAUCUGAUCCUAUUUUAUUUAAAGAUAAGCUCUAUUCAUCCAAAAUUUUAACACCUUGAACUCGAGUUUACAUGGCAAUGUGAUUUAGGAUGCCAAGGAUUCAAUUAAGCUUGUGGGUUAGUUGAUUUCACUAUUGCUAGAAAGCUUGAAUUCGCCUUGUUGGUUCUACAACCCAUAAAGACUGAAUAGAGUUCUUGACUAGCACAACUGAAAUAAGGUGUAUGAUGUAUAAUGUUCACCACUUAAAUGUUCCGUCCUGUCUCAAAAAUUAAAAGACCCAAAAGGAGUACAAUCGAGCCAAAUUACUAAGAAACUAAUAAUUCAUGGUGAAUGUACUGUAUAUCAAAAGCUAUAUGUCAUAUAUAAAUAUAAAAAUAUAAAAAUACAUUUUGAUUCAAUAUUGACUUUUCAAGAAAAGAAUAGCCAAUUACCCCCAUCCAAAGCUCUGAACCUAGUUCAGACGGCCAUUUCUAAAGGCGCAGUGGACCUAAUGGCCUAAAAACAACGUUUUGAGAAAAUAUUGGAUAGUCCCGAAGCGCCAAAUCAACGUGCGCCCCAAUCUCCACGUGUGCGUGUAUGGCCCCACUAGUUUUUCUGCAUAAAAUCUAUUAUGUUCCUUUUUUAAUUUAAAAAUUUACGGCCAUUAAUAAGCUACCGCUGCUUUUUUCUCUCUCCUCUAAUUUGGAGUAGGCUUGCACGCAUUAAAUGAAUACGCACACUACAACUUCCCUUCCCUCCUUCUUUCCUUUUCAAUUCAAAAUUUUUGGUAAGAAUUUGCUCUCUACGUUGCGGUGCUUCUUCGGCCUCUGCCCCAAAGCUUGUUGCUUCUCGGCCUGCGUUGUUGUGUUCCAUCUUCGCCUUGCUUCGGUGUGGUUUCCCUACACAAGACGGCGAGGAAUGUUCUUGCUGUAAGUCGUGGACUCUACGUUGCGGUGCUUCUUCGGCCUCUGCCCCAAAGCUCGUUGCUUCUAGGCUUGUGUAAGAUGUUGAGCGGAGCCUCGACACUUGUUGGCAAUGUAGAAUAACUAAAGGGGAGGAGAGAUGAGGCUGAAACUUCCUCUUUUUUCAGAACAACAAAGUCUUUUUACAAAGACAAAUACAUAACGUAAAACACGACUAAAAUAGGACCCAUAACUACUCAUGUUCUGCAUAAAGCAUGUACUCCACUAACACUUAAAAACUAGGACAACUAACACACAAAUUAGCUAAACGUGACUCCAAUAACUCCUAAAGAUUAGAAUAACUGAAAAACCAAAUCAGCAAAAACGUAUAGAAAAAAUAAUUAUUAUUUCAACAAUCCCUCCCUUAAACUGAUGUUUACUAAUAUUCAGUUUAAAGUCUUGACUAUUUUCAACGUGCAAACACCUAGUAACCUUCUGAGCUUCACAAAUGACUCCAUCUUGAGGGCCUUGGUGAUAUAUCGGCAACUUGAUCUUCACUCCGGUAGUAGAUUAGAUCAAUUGUUCCAUCAUUGCUAAAAUCUCUCAAGAAGUAAAAUUUCACAUCAAUGUGCUUGCUUCUUCCAUGUAACAUAGGAUUCUUGGAGAUUUUGAUUGCUGAGUUGUUGUCACAAAAAAAUUUAGUAGCUCCUAGUUGCUUGAAUUGCAACUCCUCAAAAAUUCUCCUUAGCCAAAUAGCGCGACAAGCACUAGUUGUUACAGCAACAAAUUCAACUUCUGUACUUAACAAUGUGACAAUUAGUUGCUUCUUGAAUGACCACGAAAUAGCACUUGUCCCAAACAUAAAAGCAUAACCCGAAGUGCUCCUCCUAUCAUCUUGAUCUCUUGCAUAGUCAUUAUCAGUAAAUUCCAACAAAUUAGACUUUUCACCAUUCUUGUAAGAUAGCCCAAAGUCUCUAGUUCCUUACAAGUAAAGAAAGAUUCUCUUGAUAGCUAACAAAUGCAUUUUUGUAGGAUUCUUUAUAUAUUUACUGAUUAAACUCACAUAAUACAUUAUGUCUUGUCUUUUUGCAGUUAAAUACAUCAAACUGCCCACAAUUUGUUUAUAAAGUGUGCUGUCAACUUUCCUCCAUUCAUGAUCUUUGUACAUCUUUUAGCCAAACUCAAUCGGAGUGUUUACAGGAUUACAAUCCUUCAUUUGAAACUUGUCCAUAAUUUCUCCCACAUAUUUCUUUUGAAAAAUAAAGAUCUCAUCAUCCUAUUGUACCACUUCUAUGCCAAGGAAGUAAUGUAUCAUACCAAUAUCAGACAUUUCAAACUCAUCCAUCAUAGAUUUCUUGAAUUUUUCAAACAUGGCAUCACAAUUUCUAGUAAAUAUAAGAUUGUCAACAUACAAGCAGACAAUGAUCAUUUUCCCUUUAUCUCCAAUUUUGACAAAAAAAGUAUGCUUAUAAGGACAUUUUGAAAAACUAGCUUUAAGAAAAUAAGUUUCAAUACAACUAUACCAAGCUCGAUGGGCUUGUUUUAGCCCAUAAAGAACUUUCUUCAAUAUAUAAAUUUUAUGUUCAUUUUCCAAUCUUGACAUAACAAAGGAGUUGCUCGACAAAUAUUUGUUCAUCUAAGUACCCAUGCAAGAAUGCUGAUUUGACAUCUAGCAGGAAAAUAUGUCAAGAAUUCGGUGUCGCCAAUGCAACCAUCAAUCUAAUUGUGUCAUGUCUCGCAACUAGAGAAAAAAAUUCUAUAUAGUCGAUCACAUAUUUUGUAUCCCAUGGCUACCAAACCUGCAUUGUAUUUGUCAAUUUCACAAUUUUCUUUCAGUUUUGUUUUAAAGACCCACUUUAUACCAAUGGUUUUUUGUCCAUUCGAAAGAUCGGAUAGCUUCCAAGUAUUAUUUCUUUCAAUGGCAUUAAUUUCAUCAUCCAUUGCUUUUUGUCAUUUUUCUUCUUUGACAGCACUAUCAAAAGUUGUAGGGUCAUAGUCUAAAAAUAAGGCAAAGUGAGUAAUUGAAUCUCCAAUUCCAAUUACAUUAUAAUCUUCCAUCCAAGCAGGCCUUCUUCGAACGUGGUGAAGAGAUUGAGCUUCUUCUUUAUUUACUUCAACGACUAUUGGUGAAAUUCUAGCAGCUGUAGAAGUCGUGUUUGAUGAAUUUUUUGGCAUACAAAGUGCUGAAAUUUGCUCAUGUUCAACAUUAUUAUCAUAAAGGAUUUGGGUAGGCCGCUGCCUAUUCCAAUCCCAAGUGUUCUCUUAAUCAAAAACAACAUCCCUACUAGUCAUAAUUUUCUUUGUUAGUGGAUUGAAUAAUUUAUAUGCUUUGGAUGCUUCACUUACACCAAGAAAGACACAUUUUUCAGUCUUUUCAUCAAGUUCCUUCCUUUUCUCAUCCGGGAUAUGAGCAUAUGCGAUGCAUCAAAAGAACUUGAAGUGAUCUACAACCGGUCUUCUCCCACUCCAAGCCUCUUCUGGUGUCAUAUUUGGAACAGCAAAAGUUGGACUUCUGUUCCAAACAUGAAUACUUCAAUUUACUGCUUCUGGCCAGAAAGUCUUUGGAACUCUUACUCUUGUCAAUAAGCUUCUCACCAUGUUGAGAAUGGUUCUAUUUUUCCUCUCAAAUACACCAUUCUGUUGUGGUGUUAUCGCGACCUUCCCAAUGGUGAAUUACUUAAAGAAGGCUAAUGGAUUACUAAGUCCGAAGACUUGGCACGGGACCUCCCAAGUCCUACCAAUCGCGACUUGAUGUUAAAAAAUUAAUCUAUUUAAACAUGCAAUUAUACUCAAUUUGGAGCCGCCACUAAUCAAUUAGGGUUGAUUAGAAACCCAAAUAAAGUAUGUGAGAAUACUUUAUUUUUGCGAACCAGAGAUUCAAUAAGUCCGGGGACAUGGUUACGCUAGAUUAGUCUAACGCCCUUUCGGUACCUUUUAUUUUAAUUUCAAAGAUAUUUUGCAGGCAAUGUUGAUUAAUUUUAACCUAAGCUACUAACAUGCAAAUGGUAGUCAUGCGGGUGCACAAUCAAUAAAAUAACAUUCAAUGAAAAAUGUUAAUAAAAAUGCAUGCCCUAAACAUGAUUUCUAAAUGACAGGACACCUAAUUUUUCUUUUUUCUUUUAAAAAAAUGUUAAUUAUAUGCAAUCUUGAUCUAAAUUUAAUAUGCAUGGAUAUUACUUUAAUGAUAUGUGAAAUGCGAUUCAUAUGGCAUUACUAGAACUAUCACUAUAUGCAUGCAAUCUUAUUUACAUAAUCCUAAAUAUGCAUGUGUUACAUGACAUGGGAUGGAUGACGUGGUAAUUCUAUAUGCAUGUUCUAUUUAAAAUUAUACUUUAUACAUAUGCACCCUAUAUUAAACAAUUAUGAUAUGAAAUGGGAUUAAUUAUGAACUAACCUAUUAAUUAACCAAGUAAAUGACUUUUGUGUUUUAUUUUUUAUUUUUUGAAAUGACCUAAUAAUUCUUAUUAAAAAAAUAACAUAAUGAUGCAAUACUAAUCUUUGGCUUUUUUUUUAUUAAAAAAACAACUACAUGACGGGAAUAUUAAAGCAUUAACCUAUGACCCACUAACUAAAGCGCAACAUGUGGUGUGCACAUUAUGAAAUCUAUAUAACCUAAAUAACAAUUUUUUGUUCUUUUUUGUUUUGUUAAAGGAAAAUUAACCUAAUCCUAUUUUAAUCUAAAAAAUCAAAAUGCAAAGCUUUAAAUAUGAAAUGCAUAUGGACCUAGGUACUUAAAUUCUAGAUAUGACAUAUGAUAUGAUAUGUGAUGUGCAAAUAACAAUGAUGCAUCAAAAUAUACGUCCUAUUGAUAAUCUAUCAAAAUGAAUCAAUUACAAAUUAUCUUUAUGUGAAUCAAUGAUGUAAAGCAAUUCAUGAAUUUGCCAUGAAAAGUCAAAAUAAUCAAAAAUCUAACCCGACGUCUCGCGGGUCAAUAUUUUUUUAUUAUCAUGACUUAAUAUGACCAAUUUCCUAUCGGGUAAUGAUAAUAAAUCAGAACAAAUCAAGUUAGAAUAAAAAGAAAACUAUGAGUCCAAAUACUCAAAAUAAACUUAAUCUAAAAAUUUACCUAGUCUACCUCACGGUUAACUUGAGGAAAUGGCGAGGAAGCAAUAAUGGCUGAGCUGCGAUGGUAGUUCGCCAAGGGUGAUGGGUCCUGGUGGCCGGAGCUGGGGAGGACUGGGCAACGGCAGCAGUAGGGAGGCGCGGCGUCAGUGACCGGCGAACAGCAAGGUUGCAGAUCGCAGCGGUGUAGUCGCGAUAGCUGAGGUGCAGUGGCGUCGGCAGCAAGCUCACGGGUGCAGAGGCGGCAACAGGCGGCGAAAGGCUCGGGUAGAGACGGUGACAGGGCGUCACAGGUGCUGGUGCUCGGGCGGAGACGGAGUGGUUGCUAGCGUCAGUGGCAGAGGAAGGCUGUUGGUGUCGCGAUCUGCAGCAGCAGGGAGUGUGGGGUCGUCGUGAGGAGGCGAUGCUCAGGCGAUGACGAGCAACAGGGGAGAGCUCGGGCUACAGCAGCGGCGACGAAGGCGAUCUGGCCGAGCUGCUGGGCAUCGGACAGAGGCUCCGCAGGGGUGUCGGGGCUUCUGGCGCUGCAAAUCGGCAUCAGCAGAGGGGGCUCAGGAUCUGCGGUAUUGCGGGCAGAGACAUGGAGAUCGCUGGGUUGCGGGCGGAGGCAGGCUCGAGUGCUACGGCGCGGAGGUGAUGAGCAGCAACGGCGGGGGCAGAAACACGGUGGUGGAGUGGGUGUAAGAGCGGCAGCGGCAGCUCGGCGGCCCGGGCACGGUCGUCGGAGGUGUUGGUAAUUUGUUUAUAAAACAAAUGAAGAGGUGCCUUGUCCCACAUCGAAAAGAUGUGAGUGCGCACGUGGACGAGAUUUGGCACUAACCGACAAUCAAUUUUUUAUGUCUUUUUAAUGUAACCUUUUAGACGUACUUGUUCACGAAAGGUUGUCUUUAUUCUUUUGUAACAUUUUGAAGGGUUGCCUCUAUUCGAAAGACAUAUAUAAAUACAUUUGUUUUGAGAUCAAACAAUAUCUUCUUUCAUUUUUUUCGUGUUCUUUCAAAAGAAACUACAGCCAUUGUUUCUAAUUGUUUCUCAUGAGAGAUCCUGGAGAAAUACUAGAAUUGCUAUCUAGUAUUCUUGUUUGAGACUUUGUUGUAUCCUGGAGGAAAUUUGCCGGUGACCAUUAGCAACAUAGUGGGGCAAAUAAAUCUUAAAGAAAGUGAUAUCACGCCUCAAAGUCUGACUUGAGUACUUUAAAGAUCCGACUUCAUUGUUCUACCCAAUUUGAAGCCAUAUUAUCCCAACAAUUUUAAGGAUUUAUUUUUUCUGCAACAAUGAAGUUGGAGUUAAUUGAAGUCAAGUUUUGUCGGGCACAUUCGUUUGCUUUGCCGCCAGUGCAAUUUUGCUCGAAUCGAGAACCAGGGCAGAGGACUUUGGUGGAACUUCAGAGCGUAUUGAUGUGGCGGGACAGUUCAGUUAUUUCUGGCAAAUCUCAUGACAAUCACAUUGAUAUAUCUUAUGCACAGAUGAUACAGCAUCACCAGAGGGGGUGAAGAAUAUUUUGCAAGCGGAGGACAACAUUCAAGAUAUUAUGGAACUCUUAGAACAAGGAUGAUUGUGUUUUGGAGGAAGCAAAAUGAAGGAAAUCCUGAUGGAUAUCAGUUGAUACAAAAAGAAGAUGUGCAUACGGAGGAGACUUCAAACUCUUUGGCAAAUAUAUCGAGUAAUCACAUGCCAUGACUUCUUGCAUGUUGAUCUGCUCCAUGAGGGCGUGAUGUUCGACAAUAAGUAUAGAACGUUGGAGAAGACUACUUGGAGUCAGCAGAAAGAUUUGAUCCUCGAGAACGCUCAUGGAGACCGAUAAAGGACAUGAGCACGAAAAGAGGGGGUCAUUCUUUGGUCGUCUUGAACCAAAAGUUAUAUGAUGUAGGAGGCUACGAUGGAUCUAAAAUGGUGGCGACAGUGGAUCUUUUCGAUCCUCGUGCUGGUUCGUGGAUGAUGGUGGAAUCGAUGGACGAUCUCACCCGUUGAAAUAUUUAGUCGCGAGAAUUCGAAAACAAAACCAUCUUUUCUCGAACGGAUGGUGAAUGAAACGUAUUGGCAUGGAUGGCGGUUGGGACCCAACGCCAGUCACGAGGGACGAAAGGACGUCAAUGGCGUGGCUCUUUCUACGUUUAGCCAUCCACGUGCUUUAACUGGUGCAUGAACCUCUGACUCGGUGAGUCGUGUCUUUUCGCCAGCGUGCCUGCCUCGGUUGAACCAGAUUGAUGCGGUGCUUGGUUUUUGUCGAAGAGUCUCGAUUGUUGUGCAGAGUGCGCGCCAUGGUCGCUGGUUUGCACGAGAAUCACCGAUCCGGUGUUCAACUCGGGGCGAGGGUCGGCCCUGACGGAGAAGGGCACGGUGGAGAUGGAGGCGAGCAUAAUGGACGGGGUGGGGAGGAGGUGCAGCACGUUUUCUAGUGUGACGAUGGUGAAGAACCCGAUCUCCCUGGCCAGGCUCAUCAUGGACAAGUCCCCCCACUCCUAUCUCGCCUUCGCAGGCGCCGAGGAGUUCGCCCGCCUCCACAUCUGUACUUUCUGCCUACUCCCAUAGACUUCUGCUUCUCCUUUUUUGCUCACGUGGGUCUCGCAUUCGAGUCACGAAAAUCAUGAACUCCUCUCAAGAGAAGCAUUUUUGCGGCAUGUAUUAACGGACGGUCUCGAUGAACGAGGACAUGGAAGUACUCGACACGGUGGAAUGUUACAAAGAGGGUCUCGGAUGAUAGGAGAUUGACCAAAAGGCUUUUGAGAAGAGGUGUUAUUUCUCUGCAAUCGUGGUAUGACAGAAGAUCGAGGUCCUACACUUCGGUUCGGUCCUAUGUAAGUCGAGCAGGGGAGCAUGAUCUCGUUGGGAUUGCUGCACUUAUUGUGCGCGGUCAAAGCUCUUUAUAUGUUUUCAGGUUUCUGCCUACCUUCAAGCGGACAAGCUUCCUCAAUAAAUAAGGAGGAUUAAGGAUGUCGUUGUGAGUACGGUAAAAAAUAGACUUAGUCAUCGGCAGGAGAGAGAAUUUGAAAAGAGAUAAGCUUAGAAUUUAAAAAAAAAAAAGAAAACCCAAAAGAAGGAGAUAAGUUCAUCCAGGGAGAAGUUGAGAAAAACGCCAAAGCAAAAUUUGGGCUGUCCCUCGAUGGCUUCCACGGACGCUGAUGAUUAUCGCUCAUUGCCAUUGGCUGUAUUUUGAAACAGCACAAAGCAUGCUCUGCUUGGUUGAGAGCCUGAAGCGACUGCAUCUCCAUCGAAACUUUUCGUUGGCUAAUAUUGCUUCACUUUUCUGUGUAUGACACAAGUAGAUGUGACCGAAAUGUUCCUAUGUUUGCCAAUUGGUGUCACAUUAAUGGCACUGAUCAAACUCAGGAAUAGUGGGGGUCACUGCACCCACAGAUAGUUGUGAAAGUGAAGGCAAAUGUUGGGUCAUUCAUGGAUGUCUUGGAGGACUACUUGAGAAUGUACCGAGGUGUUGCUUUUUGCUAAUCGGCUUAUAUGCUAAGUUAUGCAAUAUUUUUAUCUCCAUGUUUAGCACGUAAACUGCUACACUAUUUGUCAUUGAGGGUUUCAUACUUGCUCUUAGUCUUUAGUCAUUUUGGCGUGUGUGUUCAAUUCCAUGUGUGGGAUAAUGAUACAAUUGAAGAGAUGCGAUAUGCCCCAAUUUAAGACUUCAGUAACAAGAAAUGGUACACAUGUGUAUGCUUGAGCUAUUGAUCGUUGUAGGUGGUUGACCAAGAAAGGUGAGUUCAAUCGCAAUGCAUUACGAGAUUGACACGAGCGUGUGAAUUUUGAACUAGAACUGGAAGGUGUCUAUAGAAUUUUGGUAUCGUGUGAUUGAGCUAGACUUUUGGUCUUGAUUUGUUUCAUGCUUUAAGAUUUUUGAGCCAUGCAUUCAAGCACAAGAUUAAUUGGAAUCGGCUUGAUUGCUUGAUGUCUUGGAUUAAUAUGUGCACAAAUGUUUAUGUUAUUAUGGGCUUAUGCAAGCACAUAAGCAGUGGCAUGAACGUUUGAUUCAAUCAUAUUAUCUAAUGGUUUCAAGCAUAAUAAUGUUAAAUUUAUGGUUUUGCCAUUGCAUGCAAUUUGAUGAAGAAAUGAGGUAUGGCUCUGAUUAUACCUUUUAGAAGGUUUCGGAUUAUACAAUGUUGUUGAUUCCAUUCCUAGAAUUGUUGGUAUCUUCUUUUCGCCUCUCUCAAUUCCAGUUUAUGCACUUAUGAUACCUCGAUACUCGAUUCGCUUGCAUUUACUGAAUUUUUAGAGAAUGCUCUUACAUGCAUGGGAUGAUAUGUAGUGCUCUAUUUAUGGAGGCAAUCUGGAGAUACUGAAUGGGUUUUUUUUUUUUGUGUCCCUUGUUUGGUUCUAAUGUGUUCUAUUUGUUGUCCUUGCCCCUCAUAGAUUUGAUUCUAAGGAAUAUCAUAAAUGAGCCAAGAGAGUAGAAUUGCAAUGGUUUUCUAUUUUGAUGUAUGUAUUUCAUUGAGCAUGAAAUUUGACAAUGCAUAGUUUUGAUUGGAUGCCUCAUGAAAUAUUCUUGUGGUGGGGGUAUCCGAAGGGGACUUGAAGUCAUUGAGACUAAGAAGUAUCUAGCUUUCAUUUUCAAAAUGAAAUAUUUAGAAGAAGCAGAUACUAUCUUAAGUAUUAAAAUUAAAAAAUAGUGGGGGUUAUUCUUUGAGCUAAAGUGAUUACACGGAGAAGAUGUUGCAUAGAUUUAAACAUCUUGUUUUCAAAUAUAUGAGUACUCCAUUUGAUUCCUAGUGGAGAGUUUUUAAUGUGAGUGAUAUUGGUUUUUGAUGUAUGCGAUACAUUAUCUAGACCUGAUAUUACUUUUUGUAUAUGCAAGUUGAGUAAAUACUAGUAAUCCAAUAUAGAACAUUGGAGGGUUAUCUUAUUGUUCUAUAAUAAUUCGGCUAUAUUAGAAAGAUAUAUCAAUGCUAGUUGGAUUGCAAGUGUGAGAGAUAAACAAUCCACUAAUGGAUUAAUUUUCACAUUACGUGAAUGUGUUGUUUCUUGGGCGAGCAAGAAACAAAUGUGCAUAAUUCACUCAACUAUGAAACUUGAAUCGUUGCUUUAGCAGAAUUUGAGAAAGAGGCUAAAUGGACUAUGAAUUUGUUGUUAAAUAUUAAAUUAUGACCUAAUCCAAUGCCUCCUAUUUCUAUCUAUUGUGAUAGUCAUGCUACUUUAGUAAGAGCCUAUAGUAGCACCUAGAACUGUAAGUCUAGACAUAUUAGUCUAAGACAUGAAUAUGAGACAAUUGAUUAAAGAUGGUACCAUAACAAUUGUCUAUGUGAGGUUAAGUAAUUAUCUUGCCGAUCCUUUGACGAAGUCUUUACCGAGAGACAUGGUAAUAAUGACCUCACAAGAAACGGGGCUGAAACCCUUUAAUUGAAAUCACCAAUAAUAGUAACCCGACCUUUUUCUAGAACAUCACUAGUUACAAGGUUUAAUGGGUAAGAACAAGUUAUUGGAUGUGAUUGUUUGAUACUGACGUAGCCCUGAUAUGAGAAGUCAGUAUCGUCUAUUACGUUUUGUAGGUUGAAUUGAAUUCUUAAUGAAGUAUGAUACAAAUAUGUAACGUGUUGAUAGUAACAGAAACACAUGGUAGAUACUUCGCCUAUACGAGCUUAGAAGUGGUGCCGCUUCUUACGAAAGUUAGGGUUGCUUUCUAGAGAGCUCAUGAAACAGGAUCAAGCACAAGGCCAUAAUAGUGUAGAGUAAUAUAGAACUUCUCGCUGAAACAAGAGAUUAGUGUAUGUGCGGUAUGUCCGGUUCUAUUACAUAAAAGUACAAGUUUAAAGCCGAGCUACUUGUCACUUUGAUAGAGCUUUGAGAUACUUGCACUAAGUAAAGGUUUAACUCGAAAGAGACCUUUAUGUAUGUAUUUUAAUCUCACGGAAACUUUGGCUGUAUAUUUCUAACAUUUUGUUUUUUGUUUUUGUUUUAUAAACAAAAGUGGGGGAUUGUUGGUAAUUUGUUUAUAAAACAAAUGAAGAGGUGCCUUGUCCCACAUCGAAAAGAUGUGAGUGCGCACGUGGACGAGAUUUGGCACUAACCGACAAUCAAUUUUUUUAUGUCUUUUUAAUGUAACCUUUUAGACGUACUUGUUCACGAAAGGUUGUCUUUAUUCUUUUGUAACAUUUUGAAGGGUUGCCUCUAUUCGAAAGACAUAUAUAAAUACAUUUGUUUUGAGAUCAAACAAUAUCUUCUUUCAUUUUUUUCGUGUUCUUUCAAAAGAAACUACAGCCAUUGUUUCUAAUUGUUUCUCAUGAGAGAUCCUGGAGAAAUACUAGAAUUGCUAUCUAGUAUUCUUGUUUGAGACUUUGUUGUAUCCUGGAGGAAAUUUGCCGGUGACCAUUAGCAACAUAGUGGGGCAAAUAAAUCUUAAAGAAAGUGAUAUCACGCCUCAAAGUCUGACUUGAGUACUUUAAAGAUCCGACUUCAUUGUUCUACCCAAUUUGAAGCCAUAUUAUCCCAACAGGAGGUAGCAGGCGGAGGCGUCGGCACAGGGGUGCAGUGGUGCGGCUGGGUGAACGCGAUGGCGCAGGUGCGGGCACGGUGGUGCGCCGGUGAGGAGGAGCUGUCGGUCUGCGGGCAGCAAAUUCCGGCGAGUGCAGGGGGAAGAGGAUGAAUAGUAAACGUCCAAUCCCCCUGCCGAUUAAACUUUUGCCUCUGCUUUUUCCCCUUUUUUUUAAUUUUUACUCUCUCUCCUCCUACCCACCUCUUCGUACACACACACACACACUCUCUCUCUCUCUACCUUCUUUUGACUUUUUCCUCUUUUCCUCUCCCACAAAUCGAAGCUCUCUUCUCUCUUUUUUUCUCCUUUCAGUUUUCACUUUUUUUUUCGACGAAGAGAAGCCCCCUCAACUCCGAAACCUCGCCCUCUUUUUAUAGAGGAAAGACUCGGAAUUGUUGAAGAUUUCCCAAUAUUCACUCAACUUCUUCAACAAAAAAGUGGCUCCAAAAUGACACGACUGUUGCAUUUUUGAAUUCAAAGUUUUUUUUUUUUCAAAAUUUCCCUCUAUAAUCAAAGAUUAUCUUUUAUUUCUAAAAAUGAAUUUAAAUUAGGUAUCAACAGGUGUAUAUGCGGCUGUAAGCUCUCUUCGAAUGCCAUGAUUUACACAAAAAGUUUCAAAUUCUUUUGAGCAAUAUUCAUCACCACAAUCUAUUCGAAUGGUCUUAAUGGUUUUACCUGCUUCAUUUUCCACACAAGCUUUGAAACUUUUAAAUAUGAAGAAAGCUUCUAACCAUGAAUGGACCUAGACUUAGAACCAGAGAAGGAGAGUAAAUUUUCUGCAGGUAUGCAUCCCACAAUGGGCGAACAACUCCCGUUCAAGCCCUCAGGGACAGCCUUUUAGCAGGAAACCACUCGCCCUUUAGUUCAGAGCCUAGAGACACUCAGAGAUGCCAGGAUGGAAACGUUUCUAACCUACCCAAGCUGCAUUUCUUGGAGGAACCUACCAGGCUGGAGAAGAAGAGGAGUUUAGAAAGCCAUAGAGAGAGUUUUCAUAAAACACUCACUUUACUUCAAGGGACUCUGCCCAACACAUUACACCCUCCAUGCCUUAUAUAGACAAUACGAGGUCACAAAGCAACAAACAAGGACCAAGCUCAUGGGUCCGGAAACAAACAGAGGCACCAGAAACUUCCGGGAGGGAAUUAUUCGCACACUAUGAACAGUAACUGUACUGUGAACAGUACUUUCCCUAACCUAGUGCUACAGUAAAAGUGAACAGUGUUUUUGCUACAGUGAAAUUGUACGAACUCAGCGGUCUCGUCUGUCACGAGUAUUGUAGCUACAAACUGAGUCAUCUGAGCUGUCUUCUAGUAGAUGUGCCUCAUAUUUCUGUUCAAGAGCUUCAAGAUCUUCAGGUGAGAGGAUUUGGUUUAGCUGUCUUGAUGAGGAUGGUUCUACAUGUGCCCAGUGGGAUGCUUCCUCUCAAGCCCAGUCUGUAUUGUCACGUACUGCAGUGUCGGGAGGAAUGCUUGGCUGGGGCCAAUUGGAUGGCUCUGCAUAGAAAGAUGUGUCCAUGUUCUGAGAUAAGGACGAAGGUCCUAGAUCAUAAGGGUCUUGGGAAAGAGGACCUCCCCAUUGUGCAUAGGGGUCCUAUGUGGAUUGGACAAUGUCAUCUGUAUCUGUCAUUUCAUUAUCUUGGGAUGAUGCAACUUGUCUGUUUUGCCUGAGUGCUUCCUUGGCUUCUGGUGCCAGGUCAUAAUGAUCCCACGCAGUGGGUUCACUAUAAUUCCAUGCUUAUUGAGGAAUAGUUUUGUUUUCUUGGCACAAAAUUCUCUAGAGUUCUCGGUACUGAUGUUCACAGGAUCUAACAGAUCUUGGAUAAGAUUUGUGAAUCCGAGCUUCUCUGCUAUCCAGGUGGGGUUUGUAGGAUGUGGUUCCUAUUUCCUAAGGGACAUUAAUGAUGUGGCCACUAUUUGUGAAAAAAUACCAUGGUCGCUGGAAGAACAAGAUGGUAUGAACUUUUAGGAUUUGGUGUUGUGGUUCUCAAUUCCUUUUCCGGGAGGUAUUUCCAAUGAGUAGGAGGAUAGAACCAAUUGAGAAAGUCUAAAAGAUUUUGAUCACUUUCUCUUUCAACAUUUCUUCCAAGUAGGAAUAUCCUGGUGAGGUUGACGAUGAAUCUUCUGGUUGGAAUUUCAAUGGCUAUUAAGUACUUAUUGGUUAAGUACCAUAAUAACGUUUUGACCUGAUCAGGGAAAUCAUCUUCCUUCCAGAUAAGAGGAUGAAUGAAUGGAUAAUUUGAAUUUAAUCCAAAAGGAUAAAGAAUCGAAUCUCCAUUGAAUCUGAAUAGAUCUGUGUGGCAUUGCCACAUGAGGUCUCCCAAGUUUUCAGCGAGAUUGUCAUUCUGGAUGUGUUGAAUAAUCUCCUGGGGAUAUUUCCAGUUUGACAAGUCUUUGAUAUUUUCAAUCUUGUAUUUCACGCCAUGAUUGAGCAUAUGGAAAGCAAGCCUUUUGAUGUACAUGUUGAUUUCAGCUGGUGCUUUUAGCCUUGAUAGGAAGUCAGCAAGUACAUUCUUCUUUCCAGGAAUAUGCUUGGUUUCAAAGGAGUAUUUUGAGAACCAUUCAGCCCAUCGAAGUAGUUGAGAAUUUGGAAUCUGCUUCUGCUUAAACUUGGUCAUCUGAGGGAAAGAUGCCAUGUCUAAUUCUACUAGGAAGUGAUGGCCGAUGAGAUGAAACUCAAACUUUUUUAUUCUAUUUUUGACUGCCAAGAUUUCUUUAAAAGUGGAGUGAUAAUGCAUUUCAGCUCGAGAAAACUUUCCACUUUUAUGAGCACAGAGGUGUCUCUUAUCAUCAAUUUCUUCAAAGAGGAUGGCUGCCCAGUAUUCAUCACUGGCAUCAGUUUGGAGAAUUCUUCUUCCUGUUGAUGGUAUUUGCAAUGGUGGGAGAUUCUGCAUAGUCUCCUUAAGCUCAGCGACUGUUUUAGUUUGGGGUUUUCCCUAAGGUGGGGAAUUCUUCUUUAACAUGGAUUGCAAAGGAAUCAAGAGCUUCGCAAUGUUUGGGACAAAAUCCCUGAGAUAAUUGAUUAUCUCAAGAAAUUGCUAAACUUGUUUUGUUGUGAAGUUAUCUUCAGGAAACUUCAAUAACUCUUGAGCGAUAUGUGGCCCUGGAUAAUAUGUACCUUUGUUAAGGUGCAUAUCAAGAAAUUCGAUUUCUGUCUGGGCAAUAUUCAUCUUUUUUUGAGAAAGCAUGAUACCAUGCUUCUUCAUGAUUUCUGCAAAUUGCUCAAGGAGUUGACAGUGUGACUACUCAUCAGGACUGUAGAGCAGAAUGUCGUCAAUGUAUACGGCUGCACUUGACAAGAUUGGUUGGAAAAUGCGACACAUGGCCUUUUGGAAAAGGGAUGGUGCUACCUUUAAUCCAAAAGGAAGAACUUUCCACUGGAAGUGCUGGUUAGGGAUACAAAAUCCUGUUUUGGAUCUUUCUUUAGGAUGGAUGCCCAAUUGCCAAAAUUCGGCUUUGAGGUCAAAUUUGGAAUAGAUAUGGGCCUUGGUUAGACCAGUAAAGAGAGAAUCUCUGGAUAGUAGAGGGAAUUUAUCAUCUUGGAGAAAAAGGUUGAGAGGUUGAUAGUUGAUUACCAGUCUCAUUUUUCCCCUGUUUUGCUCAGCACACUUAUUGACAUAAAAGGCUUCACAAGCCCAUUGAGAAUUGGAGAUUUCAAUAAGGCCUUGUUGUAAUAGUUCUAAGCAUUCCCUUUGAGCUAAAGCCAGAUGUUCUGGCUUCAUUCCCAUGUGACUCGCCUUAGUUGGAUUUAUAUCCUCAUUCUUCUUAAAAGGAAGGCGAACAAAGAACUCUGAAUUUUCCCAUAAAGGAUGUGAGCACUUUUGAGCGAAUUCCGAAUGGGAUUCCGAACAAGAUUCUAACAAAUUUUGCAUGAUUGGGUCUAAUAGACUCAUCUGAAUGGAAAAGAGUCUCUGAAUAUUGACAAACUCAGAGAAUUGGUCUUUGUACCUAAGACCUUUUCCGGGAAUGAUACGAAGCUGAGAGAUUUGAGUCAUGAUAUCCCACCCAAUUAUCAGAUCUUUAUUGGGGAGGUUUGAUCCAAAGAUUUUUGCUGUUAUGGAACACUGAGGGAAGAACUUAACAGUUACAGGAGUGGUUCUGACAUUUGUGGAGAAAGUAUCUCCAGAGGCGGAAUUGAAAUAUCGGACAUAGGGAGUCCAGUAUUCUUCAGGUAGUACUUUAGUAUCUAAAAUGGAGCAACUUGCUCCAGUAUCAAUGAGAGCAAUAACAGUGAUUGACUUGGCAAACUUUGAGGUGAGAAUUUUCACUGGGAAAUGGGGACAGUGAGUUUGACUUGAGAAGAUGUCAAGGUUUGGUUCCGAAGAUGUGGGGGAUAUGUUAAAAAUGUCUUCAGACUCUGAGUCUGACUCAGUCUCACUGGAAGUUUGGUAAUAGGGAAUGGCACAAAGAGUUUGUUCAGAUGGUUCUUCAUCAGCAGAGAAUAGGGAUUCAAUAUCAUCAUUUUCAAGAGAAACACUUGUUUCAUUCUCAAUGUGAUGAAUUAAAUGAUUCUGACAUUUUCUCACUUGAGGACAAUUUUUGGCAAAAUGUCCUUUCUGAUUGCAGAUGAAGCAACGGUUUGAUUUCUUAUGGCCUGUGCGAUCCUUCUUUUUGCAUAGGUAUCGCCAUUUCUUCUUUUUCCGAAAAUGCUUGGAGCCAUGUUUGGAUUUCUUCAUCCAAAACUUCUUGAAAUGUUUCUUUUUCCGAGAAAACUUACCACAAGUACCAUCACAGUCUUGUUUGGAGCAUUUGAUUUUUAACUUCUGGCGAAAACAGGCUGAUUCGAGGCGCUUGUCAUAUGUGAUGUAGGUACGGACCAUCUGGCGCUUUAAGCAUAAUUCUUCAAGGCAUAGAUGGACUUCUUGCUGGAUUUCUCCCAAGGGAAUAUCUUGUAUUCUCCUUUGUUUUCCAAAGAACGAUCUUUCAACCAUCUGGGAUAGUUCUUUAGGGAUGGAAGUAAGGAAAACAUGCUUCAGAUUUGGAUCUGCUCCAACUUGAUAAAAGAGUUGAAGCAUUAUUCGGUAAUGCUUAUCAAGAUGCUUCUUCUGGAGGGAGCAACAUCUUCUUUCGAAAAAUUCUCUUCUUUUCAUCUCUAUGAGAUCAGUGGGUUUUCCCACAAGGACAUGAUAUAAGAGAGUGAUGGCAUGGCCGAAAUUUGGUGACAUUAGAAAAUGAAUCUAGUCUUGUUCUGAAAUUGAUUUCCACCAGAGUUUGAGGCUGCCUGUGAACCUCGUGACAAAGUUGUAAAAGACAUCAUUCAUAUCAUGGUUGGUGAUGGACUGAGUAUUCAACCAAGUAUGAAAAUCUUCAAGUCUCUCUGGCCAUUUGUGAUAAGGAAUAUCAUCAAUGGUGAAGAACUGUUUUGAUGCUAUGGACACAUGUUGUUUGCUUGUCUGAACGUUUUUUGGUUCAGAAUAGUUUGAUUCCAUAUCAUCAUCUGGAGGAUCGGCCAUGAAUAUUGAUGAAGUUACUAGCACAAUAGGGGGGAAUCAACUAUAGGAAUUGAGAAAGAUGAAAAGGAGGAAAGAGAUACUGAAUCUGAUUCAGUAUUAUGAGGAGUUUGCUCAGCUAGGAAUAGAAUCCGUUUCUCUAGAAUGGCAGGAUUAGGUUGUUGGAUUACAGGGUCAGGUUCUUGAGUACCCAAAUCCUUUAAAAAAGAUUCUAAUGGAUUGGAUAACAUCAUCUGAUCUGGCCUUUCUCUUAUAACAAUCGAACUUCAUUCUGUAGGCGGCAUUUUCUCUUUUCCUUUGUCCUUCUGUAAGGCUUUGAGGCGAUUUCGUAUUUCUGCCAUAUCUGGUUCCUUUCUGAAAGGAUCUUCUGGAAUGGUGGCAAAAAUAGACGACUGAGGUGAUGGGGGUAAAUACCCAGUUCUGACAGGAGAUGCCAGUGGAUCGAAAGGUCUAAACCUUCCUUCUUCAAGGAGUUGGAUUUGCCUUUUGAGUUUUUCUAUCUCUGGUUUUGGGCUUUCAAGAUAAUGAUACCCAAGAUGUUGACCUGAUUCCAAGGCAUGAAGCCUCUUCUGGAACUCAGAAAGCAUUUUUUUGGUGGUUUCAUCAUACCUUCAGAGAUCUUGUUGCACAUUUCCAAUCUUGGAAUCAAUUGCCUUGAAGGCAUUGUUUUGUGCUAACAGAGUCUCUGAUUGCCAAUUUAGAACAGCUUCAGCAGUAGGAGUCUUUCUCUGUCUUCCAUGUUCAUCUACAUCAGUGGGGGUAGAUAUCUUAGGAACAUGGCGAUAUCUGCCUUGCGUAUCAAUGAAUUCUUCUGAGGCAAGAAACGAGAGUUUAGAACUUUCUCUGACAAGAGGGGGAAAGUCAGUUUCUUGGAACAUGGCGAUAGAAGAAGUAGGUGGUGUUUCUGCUGGAGCCUCAAGUGGGUAAGAAUAUUUCUUAGCCCAUUUUAGGAUUGGCUUGUAGAACGGGGAAAGAGCUUGCUUUUUCUGAGGAGGAGAUGGUGGAGGAGAUUUUGGUGGAUCUGGUGAAACUUGAGUUGUAGUACUGGAUUCUGGUGAAGGAGGUGGUGCAUAGGAAACCAUGAACCGGUAUUUAUCAUACUCACCAAGAGUAUCAACGGAGGGGUCUCCGCUUAAAUACCUUUGGUACACCUUAUCCUUUGGCUUUUUCCUUCGAGGAGGGGGUCUUGCCAGAGGAUCUACCUCAUCAUGAGAGUUUGUGCAAUAGGAACAUUGGCAAAAAGGAUCCCAAAAACAAUGACCAUAGUUGUCUUUGCAAUAAUGGACAGGAUGCUCAUUACUGUUGAAGUGUCGAACAAGCUUUUUUGGAUCUGGCUCGGAAAUUGAUUGGGGAACACAUGGUUCAAUCAUGAAGAGGGCCUGGAAGAUAGAAGGAAUUUCUUCCUUUUCUUUGCCAAAUUUGAUGGAAACAGUUCCAUCUUUUUUUCCGGAUGAACUUAGAGUCCGUAGACUGAAAAGGCUUGUUAUGCUGAUGUAGCUUUUCAUAGUUGGUGAUCCAAGUCUCUGGAAGGAGCUUGGCCAACAUAUCCUUCGAGAUCUGUCUAGGAACAUGGAUGCAUGAUGCCUGAUCAUUCUGCAUGGAGAUAAACAAAGCAUCUUCAUUUCCAUUGUUGAAGUUGAGAUCAAGAGCAUGAUUCUGCACUCGAUAAACCAUCUGGUAAUGUAGGGUGGCAGCUACAGAGUCAGCAGUUUGAGGAGCUCCAGUGAGCUGUACUUGGACUUUUAGAAAAGAGAGUAGCUGAGGGUCUGAAAGAGUGAUGUUGAAGUUUGGAUACAGAGUCACAAAGACUGUUCCGGCGUUCAGAGUAGUUUGAACAGUACCAAUGCAAGCAUGCUGGUAUUGUAAAAACCUAGUAUCCAAUAAAGCAAUUCUUGCUACAACUGGCAAACCUUUACGACCAUGAAAGGUAAGAGCAAGACGAACAGCUCCAUAAUGGACAUGAGUGUAUCCCUGUUGAGCCCAUUGUCUGGGAAAUUCAGGAGGGAUCUGGAGAGUAACAAAGUACUCCUUUUCAGUAGCAGGAAUAGGAUGCUGGUCGAAUUUGGAGGACUGGACAUACUCCUUUACUUGCAUUGGGGUUUGGUGAAUAAGCUGGCGGAUGGAGCGAAUAGGUGAAAAUGAUGAGUUGGGCUUGGCAAAAGCAGAAUAAGGGUUCAUGAGGGGAAGUUGGGUUUCAGAAAUCUUGGUUUCAUCGCUAAGAGAGACUUCAUAAAGAUAAUCUAUCUUAGAGGCAUUGGAAACACGAAACUCUGGGGGAGUUGAGGAUGAAGGAGAAGGAGCAAGAGAAACGAGUGCUUCGAGGAUUUCUGGUUCUGUAGACAUUAUGUGAAGAGAUCUUCUCAGCACUGGGUUCACCUACCAAGCGCAUGGAAUGGAUAAUAUUACAAACGAAACCACGGCUCUGAUACCAUGAAUGGACCUAGACUUAGAACCAGGGAAGGAGAGUAAAUUUAAAAAAAAAAAACCUAGAUUUUUUUGGAAAAAUCAUCAAUGAAGGUAAUUAAAUAUCUUUUACUUUCAUUAGAAGAUGGGUUUAUAGGACAACAAAUGUUUGAAUGCACCAGCUGCAAAACAUCAUUUGCUCUCCAUGAUUUCUCUUUUGAAAAUUGAGAACGAUAUUGUUUGUUAACAACACAUUAUUCGCAAACUUGGGAAGGAGUAGUAAUUUGAGGAAGACCCGUCACCAUGUUUUUCUGUUAAAGGGUCUUCAAUCCACCAAAACUCAAGUGACCAUAGCGAAAAUGCCACAACCAUGAGGGAUCUUUCUUUUCAGCCAUCAAACAAGAUUAAAUAUUUUCAAUCUUUAAUGGAAACAAUCUAUUUGAACUCAUGUAACAACUACAAUAGCACCUCUAACAAAAUUAUAAAUUUCACAAACACCCCUCUGAAUGGUGAUAACAUAACCCUUUUUCUUGUAAUUGACCAGCACUCAACAGGUUACUUUUCAGGUCAUGAACAUACAGCACAUUAGAGAUUGUUUCCACAAAACCAUUCUUGGUUCUUAUCUUAAUAUCACAUUUUCCCAUCGUUUUCACAGUAGAAUGAUCCCAAAAACUCAUAGUGGAAUGAAAAUAUUCAUUUAGAUAAGAAAAAGAAGACUUACUUCCACUCAUGUGGUUACUACAGUCUGUAUCCACAUACUAAAUAUCUGACUCGAGCUUCUUUUCAUCUUGAACAGCCAUCAACAACGUUUCUGCUUCUUCUUUUUCAACAAAAUUUGAAUUCUCUGCCUUUUUAUUAUUAUUAGGUAGCCUAAUAUAACAUUCAGAUGCAUAAUGAAAAAUUUAUGAUAUCUAAAACACUCUAUCUUGGAUUUGUUAGGUUCUUGUCCUUUGCCUUUGCCUUAAAAUUGUUCAUUAUUGACUUUGAAAUUCCUGCUAACAUUUCUAUUUCCUCGAUCUCCCCUCCUCUACCUCUACCUCUACCAUUUCCUCUGAAAUUGUUGGAAUGAGUAUUGGUAGAAGCCUUCAACACUUGCUCAUCUACUGUUGAACUUCUGUUCAUUUAUGUUCAUGGACCGAUAAGGAGCUUUGUAAUUCAUCAAGAGAGAGUGCAUCUAUGUUUUUCGACUCUUCAAUUGAGCAGACAACAUAAUUAAACUUUGGUGUCAGGGAACACAAAAUCUUCUCCACAAUGGUGACGUCAUCUAUCUUCUCGCCAUGGAAUCGCAUCUUGUUGUUGAUCUCCAUUGCUAGUAGGGGUGAGCAUGAUUCUUGGGUAGAACUGGGAAUUGGAGAAUCGCACCGGAGGGUCCAGUUCGGUUCCCGGUUCUUAAGGGACCGGUUCCAAUUCCCUGUUCCUUUUUUUUUUUUUUCUGGGAAUCGGAACCGGAACCGGUUUGGUAGGAAAAGUUCUCGAGAAACACAGAAAGGGAAGAAAACCUGCAGGAAAAAUAAUAAAAGAAAAGGGGAGGUUAGCAAAAAGAAAACAGCUGCAGGAAGUGACGGGAGAGAGAGAGACGUGAGAGCAAAAGGAAAAAAAGGAAAAAGCAGAAAAGUAGAGAAGCAGAGAGAGAGAGAGAGAGAGAGAGAGAGAGAGAGAGAGAGAGAGAGAGAGAGAGAGAGAGAUUGUUCAUUUCAUCGUGCUCUGCCCCGCAGCUGCUCGAGGGCUCUGCUACGCCGGCCGCCGCACGGCGUCGCGCUCGUCCGCGAGCACCGCGCUGCGUCUCCGUGCCAAGCUUCACCGCGGGCAGCCUAGCCGCCAGCCACCACCGCUGCUGGUCUGUUGCUUCCCUCUGCCGAACCUCCUCACGAGAACCCUUCUACGACCCCAGAACCGAUCGCCGAGCCACCGCGCUGCUUCGUCUUUGCUUUGACACCCAGCAACCCUCGCCUGUGCUGCUCUCCGUUUGAAGUUCUGCCUCAUCUCCGCGUAGCCCUGCCGACGCCGCUCCACUAGCAACCUGCGCUUUGCCCGACGUCACAGCAGCUCACCUCUAUCGCCGACGCCCCUGUCGCAGCACCUCUGCACACCGAACGCCGCGUCGUUGCCACACCAGCACCACAGCUCGACGACCCGACGCCCCUUCUGCCCGAGCGUCUCACCGUCUCGCCACACUAGCCUCACCUGCACUACCCUCCCUUUUUGUGUUUGUUUUUCCACAUGAACGAAGAAAAAAUAAGGUACCAACUAGUUUUCAUAUUCUCUCCCUAAAUGUUUGCCAUGUGAUUUUAAUGUUAGCAGCAGUAGAGAUUUCAAGACCAUUCUUUUAUGGGCAAUUUAAUUUUUUGAUAAACAUGACCAAUUUGCUGCUAGUGCUAGCUGUUACUCUAUAAAAUGCUUGGAUUUGCAUUUUCAUUCUAUUGUACCCUUUUUUGUAUGUGGACAAUGUCAUCUAGAAUCCUAGAUACACAUACUGUAGAAUUUGUUUGGACUGUUUGGGCUGAUGUCAACGUCAUCCUCUAGGUUAAUGGACAAUGUUAAAGAUUUUGCAACUUUACUGAUCUUGAUUGGCUAGUAUGUAUAAAUUAGUCAAAAUAUUCUUUUUGUUUUAAAAUUUUUAAUUAUAUUAUAUUAUUGUUGUAUAGUUCAAAUCUAAAAAUGAAAAUGGAAAAAAAAAAAACCUGUUGGAACCUGGAACCGACCUUGGAAACUGUAACAAGGUAGGUUCCAGGUUCUUGAUUCUGACUGAUAGGUUCCAGGUUCCAAAAAAUAAGGAACCUGUACAUGAUGGUAGGUUUUAGGUUCAGACGGAACUGAACCGGAACCUAGAACCGCUCACCCCUAAUAGCUGGUGACAGAUUCUCCAUCUUUCAUCGCUAGUGUCGCAAAAUCUCUUCUCAAGGCUUGAAGCUAUGCACGCUUCACUCUAAAUAGAGUCUUGAUAUUUUUUUUUCAUAGAAUCUCAAAUAUCCUUAGAAGUUUCUUUGCAAAGAAUAGUCUCCAAGACGGGACGAUCAAUAGCCUGAAACAAAUAAUUUUUUGCCUUUAGGUCCUUCAACUUUCUAGCUUCUAAUUCUGCUUUCUGGGGAUUUGUCAAAGCCAUGCCUGAUGGUGGCUCUUAAAUUCCAUAUUUGACAACCGACCAAUACUCCUUUGAUCGUAAAAAACCCUCCAUCAGCAUGCUCCAAUGGUCAAAGUGACCAUCAAAGUGUGGAAUUGUUGGUUGAACAAAAUUGUCGGUGGCCAUUGGAAAUAUUGCCGCUGCAAUUAUCUCACACCUGUAAACCUUCUUUAUCUUUUUUAAAACUCUCUCACUCUUCUCAAGGGUCUGAUACCACUGUAGAAUAACUAAAGGGGAGGAGAGAUGAGGCCAAAACUUCCUCUUUUUUCAAAACAACGAAGUCUUUUUAUAAAGACAAAUACAUAACGUAAAACACCACUAAAAUAAGACCCAUAAUUACCAAUGUUCUUGCAUAAAGCAUUUAUUCCACUAACACUUAAAAACUAGGACAACUAACACACAAAUUAGCUAAACGUGACUCCACUAACUCCUAAAGAUUAGAACAACUGAAAAACCAAAUCAACAAAAACGUGUAGAAAAAAACAACUAUUAUUUCAACAGGCAACUCAUUGGAUUUCCCAAAUUCCACCAACAAAGCCCGAAGUUGCAGUUACAUGGGCGUGAGAGCGAUCAUGAACGAUAAGGUAGAGAACGAGAUAGGCGAGACAGAGAUUGAUGUGGACAUCGAGCCAUAUCGAGGAGGUGGUGCUAAGGACCCAUUGUCUAUUCCUACUGGUUCGAUUACUCGAGCGCGGGCCAAGCAAUUUAGGCAAGCUGUUGGUGUCAUGGUUCGUGAUCUUUGGCGUGGAGAUGACCUUGGAUCAAAUCUUGAAGAAUCUUGGAAAUCUUGGCGCAAUUUGAUUAUUUGGUCAUCAAAUAUUUGACCAAGUCAAUAUAUAUAUUCUUGUUUAGGUAUAUUCUAGAAUAUGACACAUUAGAUUUCUAGAGUUAGUUUUAGGGUUUUUGUGGCGGCUAGAAGGCCUAUAUUAAAGACUGACUGAAUUUCUUUGAAGGAUAUAUUUUAUUUUUGAGGAAAAGAAUUGAGAAGUUCUCUUCUACUGUUCUUUUGAGGACUUGACCUUAUCAAAAUUCUUCUUUGGCAGUCGAUUCGACUUAUCGAAUGAGAUAGUGAAUUCUUUCACUUGUGACGUCUAUAACGUUGGUUAGUUGACACACGUUUGUCAACAGGUCACGUUUAUACUAAGAUUGCUAAUCACAAGUUCGAUUGGAGGUCAAGGUUCGUAAUUCGCAUCAUCUAGGCCUUCGUAGAACGAUCUUUCCACAACGAUUCACAUCAGAGAUCUUGGGCAGAGAAGGAGCCAGUCAAGAAAUCGAAGUAGGAGCAGGGACUGCAAGGACCGUGAUGGUGGGGAACAUCGUAAGAGACAUGCACAUGGCAACACAAGCCUGAAAAGGCGCAGGCAUGAAGAUGGCCAAGAAGAGCCAAAGAAGAAGAAAGAGAAGAAGGAAAAGAAAGACGAUGGGACAGACCAUCCCAACCCAAAGAUUGUAGAAGUAAAAAGGUUGCAAGGUUCUCUAGGAUUGAAACUGUUGAAGCUCUAGGCAUGACAGAUGCAAAGACAUGCUGAUUGAGUGAUUACUGAUGAUGAUGCUUAGCCUGAUGGAAUGUUCAAAUUGCUUGUAUGCUGUCUUUACUGUAUAGAUUGAGCGGUGAGCAAUCAAAUGUGGCUGUCUCUAAACUUUAUUUACAUUUGACCUUAUGCCCCUUGUUUUUACUCUUUGGCACCAUAAACUUAAGUCUCCAUAACAUUUUGUAGGCUUUCAGUUGGCGUCUAGAGAUGGAUGAUCAAAUAUAUUACCGUCUCAUCCUCUUUAAUUGCAUGGUUGCGAGCUAUGGAUGUGAGUCGCAUGGCUUGGGUUCCCUGGAUCAUUUGAGAGCUGAUGUAAUCGGUCUAGUGUACUUGUGUCCACAAACUGUUCAAGUUUAAGAUCUUACAAGACUCUGCUUUUCGUGUCCCUUGUUGAAAACUUGAAACACGAGAUUGGUGCCAUCAAUGCGUUGCAACAAUUUACAACUACAUACAAACAAGAGAUUCAGCAUCCAUUUUUAUGCACACAUUUCGAUUUGAAAAAGAAGAAUUUGGAUGUGAUAAUGUCGUCUACUGCUCAUGGCAACAUGUUUUCUGACUAUACAUUUACAAGCAAUUGAAUAUGGCAAGUUGGAAAAAAGGGUAAAUAUCUCCAGUCAUGGAAGCGACUCUGGCAACAAAAUGCCAUCAUUGUCGUACUGGAUAGUACUAGAACCGUACAGUCGCUUGCACCUCCUUCCCAUCAGAAUUCUCCUCUUGCACAGCUCUACUUCUUCACAUUCCUCCUCUUCAUAUGUAAGGAUGUCGUCAUUGUCGUUGCUGUCAUCUUCUUCGUUUCGUUCUUCUUCUUCUUUGAAAGGGUUGCUCACUUUCUAGCACACAGUCUUCACCUUCAUCUUCUGUCGAGCACCCUGCAAUUUCAUCAACACCCAAGCUACAGCUUUAGCUCUUAUGGUGGAUUGAGGAAUACUGCCGGUACACCUUUUUUCAACACCAAUGUCAACAUCGUUACCAUUGCUCUUCCCGACCUCAACACCGAGAAGUUUCAUGCCGGGAUUCUUCUUGAAGAUGGCAAACAUUCGGAGGAUCACCCUCUGGUGCCGCUUACUCGGCACCAUUUGUACAUAUGGACUGGCCUUCUCUCCACAUCUCUCGUCGUUCUCUACCUUCUUGUUCAUGAUCCCUCUCAUGCCCAUGUAAUUGCAACUCCAAGCUCUGUCGGUGGAAUUUGGGAAAUUAAAUGAGUUGCCAGUAAGUGUCGAGGCUCCGCUCAACAUCUUACACAAGCCGAGAAGCAACGAGCUUUGGGGUAGAGGCCAGAGAAUGUGGCACCCCAAAACACCUAAGGACGCCAUAGGUACUUAUCGCUCCACCUAAUGACACUAGUACAUCUCUUAGUAGAAACAUCGUAGUUCAUAGGCAUUUUUUUUUUUAAACAGUCCCAACGCAACUUAUUAGCGGAAGCAUAAUUGAAUCUCACCAUCUCUCCCUCCAAUAACCAUAAUGCAAUGCACACCAACUACGCACCAUAUGAAAAGAUGAAGUCGAGCCACUUUUUAUUUACAUAUUUUCAUGAUGGAUUUCUCGGGUUGGUACAACCAAAAAGAAAAGCCAAGAUUUUUAACUACACUUGGCCACAACCCAAAAGAUAUCUCGACCCCUAUAUCGAUCACGUGUCAUCCUCCAUCUACCAGCGUCGGCUACCCUAAAAAAGAAACGUCAGCUCUCUACUCCUCACGCCCAUCCUGGCACGUCGGGCGGUGGUGUGGUGGCAACAUCCCCCGAAACACUCCAUCUCGGCGGACGUGGACCGACAAAGACUCCUGAAUGACUGGGCAACUAGGCCCACAUUGUACAUGACCAGCACACGAACUCGCACAAAUGUUAGACCAGGGAUGGUAAUGCAGUCAAUCUCCGAACACUCUACCUCCACGUCAGAUGGGAGGCCAUAGAAGGUACCCCGCGUGACCGGAGAGAGCGGCAUCUUCCUAAUCUGAAAUGUUGGUCCCCGAAGGGGUGAGUACAGCCACUCAGCAGGUAAAAGAUCCAUUAACUACUCAAUGCAUCACACAAUACAAUCACAACAUCAUGGCAUAGUACAUAUCAUCCGUGCAUCCAAGCAUAACUUACCUUGCGGCCAUGCAUAUGUCAUCAUACCAUAUGUACAUACAUCCUCAUGUACUCAUCACCAUCAUGUCAUACAUAUAUCAUCAUGCCAUAGGUACACAUACAACCAUGCACUCAUCAUCAUCAGGUCAUACAUAUACCAUCAUGCCAUAGGUGCACAUACAACCAUACACUCAACAUCACCAUGUCAUACAGCCAUGCAUAUGUCACCAUACCAUAUGUGCAUGAUUUAAUUUCCACUUUUUAUCUUUCAAUUGAUCACCACAUUUUCUUUCCCGGGAUCAGUAAUUGCAUCCCACAUUCUAUCACUCGCACCUCAACCUGGCAUCGCGAGAAACCUCCGGCACACACCACCGGGCAUCCGGCACCCCCACAUUCCGGGCAUGUCGCAUCCCAACUGACAUCACGAGGCAUUCCCCGGGCACAAACCUCCGAGGCUUCCAGCACCCAACCAUUCCGGGCAUCUCGAAACUCUUGAGGACAUGGGGGCAUGUAUCACAAUACAACCGGGCAUCCGGCACCCCCCAUCCCGGGCAUCCUGACACUCCCAGGGCAUUAUCGGCUCACCUCCAACAGUCUUCUCAUUUAUCAAAAUUCAUAUUCACCAAUUUAUGUCUCACAAUCAACAUGGCACAUGAUGUAAUAGCAACAAAGUCAAAUUCAACAUUUGAUUCUAUAUGCAAUGCCAAUUAUCAGAAUAAUCAUAAAUUACAGCAUUUGAAAUUCGCUCUAUCCAACUUGCUCAGUUUUAGAAAAUAAUUCCAUUUAAUACCCAAAUGACCUUUAAAAAUUAUGAAAUUCGAACAUGUGAUAGUCAAGAUAUAAUGGCAAAUAUUUCAUGAAGGACACUGCACCAAAAGACCCUCAUAUCAUGCGGUAUAGACCGAACAUCACAGCACCAUUAUCCUAACCACUUAACUUGCACAGUUUUCGAAACAUUUUCAGUUAAAUAGGCAAAUGAACUUCAAAAAUUAUGAGAUUUGGAUAUGUUGCAGGGAAGACAUAAAUAAAGAUACUUCAUGAAGAAAACUUUGCCGAAAGAUCUUCAUAAAAAAUGAUAUGACCCAUGCAUUGAACUGAUCAAAUCCGAAUAUACCAGGUUACACGGUUUUAAAACAUUUUCGAUUAAAUACCCAAAUGGCCUUCAAAAUUGAUGAAAUUCGACUAUGUUGUAGUCAAGAUCCUAAGGUAGGCUUUUCGUGAAGAAAUCAAAGUCAAAUUCGUUCUAGGUGAUUUAAUAUAGACGGUUACAGUUUCUGUUUCAAUACCAAGAUUUCCAGAUUUGACCACCUCUGAAAAACCAUGAUUUCACCUAUCUAUUCUUGUUUGUUUUCUCUAAAUUUUUUGUAUGUUAAACCUCAGGAUGUCCUUUACAUCUUUCGUUAAGAAAUCAAAGUGAAAUUUCAACAAAAAGAUAACCUUAUAGUCCAUGCAUUUAUCAAAGGUCGUUAUCGAAAUCUCCAGAUUCUAUCUCUCCGAAAAAUAAAUAUUUCACCCACUUAUACUUGUUCGUUUUGUCCCAAAUCUGAGUAUGUUAUAUUUCAAAAAGUCCUUAACAACUUUCAUUUAGAAGUCAAAGCCAAAAUCCAACUCGAACAUCAUAUGCAAGCCACUACAACAUUCAAGGUCAAACUGUUUUCUCAGGAACAGUUUACUAGUCUCAAACAUCCCUCUUAAAACUUCAACUUUUAACACUCUAAACAUCCGAAAUCUAUCACCAUUCAAACACCCAUGCUAGACACAACAUGCAAGUGCAGAUUGAGGAUCCCAACUUGCCUCUAAACCGAGCAAGCAACGAGCACGCGGCGACUAGACACGGCGGUGACGGACGACAGACGAUCGGCUUCCUUCUUCUUCCACACGCUCACUCUCCCUUUCUCUCUCGAUUUCUCUUUUUCUCUCGGUAACUCUCUCUCUCUCUCUUUCUCUUCGGACGAACCCCUUUCAUCAUCAACCGGUUCCCUCAAAUUUUCCUCUCCUCAAUGAUGAACAAUCAUUGAUUUUGCAUGAAGGACACUUGGACUAAGGGGGAAAACACUUGGCAAAAUCUUCAUGCAAAGGAGUGGGCCUCUCAUGGGCCGGUUCCUCCUUGGUCGACAGCCUAAUGGGGCUCCAUUCGGCCAGGCUUGAAGCCAGCUUGGCCGACAGCUCCUCCUCCUCCUUUGGGCUUCGCGGCUAGGCCCAAAUGGCUGAAGGGUGGGGCUUCUUGUGGGCUGGUCGAGAAUGGGGUGAGGCAAUUGGGCUGGUUUGAGCCUUCAAUUAUCCAGCCCAUCCUCAUCCUAUUAAUUCACAUAAUCCUUAAUUAUAUAAAUACCUAAUUGGAAUUUAUAAUUCACAAAACUUUGUGACCUAUCUUAAUAAAUUCCAAUCCAUAAUCCCCCAUGGCCAAAAAUAGCAAUUUUUUUUAUUAAAUAAUUAUUCACCAAAAGCUUGGCCAAAGUCUUAAUGUAAGACGUGAAUUAGAGCACCCCCUAAAGAUUGGCAAAGAAUUCUAGGAUGCCACAGAGAAGCAUCACAACGUAGAGUCCGCGACUUACAGCAAGAACAUUCCUCACCGUCUUGUGCAGAGAAACCACACCGGAGCAAGGCGAAGAAGGAACACAAUGACGCAAGCCAAGAAGCAAUGAGCUUUGGGGCAGAGACCGGAGAUGCACCGCAACGUAGAGAGCCGAUUCGUACCCAAAAUUUUGCAUUAAGAAGGAAAGGAAGGGGGAAAAGGAAGUUGUAGCACGGGUUUUUUUUUUUUUUUGAUUCAGGAGGAACCAUCUUGCACCGACAGUGCGCCGUAAACCCCCCGGUGACGCUAGCAGGGAAACCACCACCCCGACGUCACGCUUAAGUCACCAUAUAAUAGCUAAGACUGCCUCCCUGCUUCGCAGGGGAUUCGAACCUUGGCCUCCACCAGGGAGGUCCAAGGCCCUACCAUCCACGCUUAUGCAGAAAGGAGGAGAAAGAAAGCAUUAUUAAUGCGUGCAGGCCUACUCCUAAAUAGAAGAGAGAGAAAAGUAGCGGCAUGCCUAUUAAUGGCAGUAAAUUUUUAAAUAAAAAAAGGGAACAUAAUAAAUUUUAUGCAGAAAAACCAGCGGAGCCACGCCCGCACACGUGGAGCCACGCAUCACUUCUUGAUUGGUUGGGCACAUGCUCACUUGGCACUCCGGAAUCACCCGAUAUUUUCUCGCGAUUGCAACGUCUUCUUUUGGUUAGGACAGUUGUUAUAUGAAAAAAAAAAAAUCCCGAAAAUGGAGAUGGAUAACCCAAAAGAGAGAAUACUGUUGGAAUUUCAAUUGAAGAGAAAUUUUUCCGAAGAAAAAAAGUCAGGAGAUAUUUUAUUUCAUUCAGAAAAGAAGGAUCUUGUUUGCAAGGGGGGAAUCAAAGCACAUGCCCCAGGGCCCAGGCCACCGGAGAAAAUUCGACUACGCUCCUCCCGUUUACGUUUCCAAAGAAACAAAAAUAUAAAAAGCACAUGCCACAUUGUCCGUAACGUAAACGAUGAAACGUACGUCAGUUGGCCUCCCUCGAAUAAUGCAAACCCAAACGACGACAAAAAAAGUUCAACAAACGGAUGGCUGACCGAGACGACCUGCAAAAUCCAGAGCAUUUCACUCGCGCUUCCACGACUCAGUGAGUCCGGUCAACGCAGACCGAGACGACCCGCCGGGGCUCAUAGCAGCCCUAGCUUCUUCCUUCAUGGCAAGCACUCGCUCCUUUACCAUCUUUCCCUCUUCACUCUCCAUUAACUCUCUGACUCGCUUCUCGACCUCCUCGGAACUCACCCACCCGUCCGCUGACUCGUCCACCGGAAGGGCGAUCCUCAUUUCCUGUACCAGAAGCACCCUGUUGUGCCGCUGCUCAGCGUAGAGCGGCCACGCCACCAUCGGCACGCCAGCGCACACCGCCUCAAGCACCGAGUUCCACCCGCAGUGAGUCACGAACCCGCCCACCGAGGGGUGGCUCAGCACCUCCACCUGCGGGGCCCAUUUCUUGACCACGAGCCCUCUCUCUUUGGUACGUUCAAGAAAGCCCUCCGGAAGCAGGCACCCCAAGUCCUCGUCGGGCACCGCCGACGUGGCGGCCUUUUGGUUCUUGUCAUGUGUCGGGCUACGGACCACCCACAAGAACCGCUGACCGCUCCUCUCCAGCCCCGUUGCUAUUUCCUUCAGCUGUUCCACCGAGAACACGCCCAAGCUCCCGAAACACAGGAACACGACGCUCCCUCUCGGCUGCGAGUCCAGCCACGUCAGAGACUCCGGCGAUCUGCCGUCGUCGCCUCCCCUGCUAGAGAUCAGCGGCCCAAUGCAGUAAAGCGGCGGAGUGGGCCCGCCGGGCACACACUCGCCGUCCGUGAUGGCUCGUACCGCUCUCGGCUCGAGCUUCUCGAAGGUGUUGACUAUGAUACCGGCCGAAGUCUGCAUCUUCAGGGACGAAUCCAAGAAGCCCUCGUAUGCCUCAUCAUAGCGAUCCUCCAACGGCUUCGCAACAUCGGAGGGUGGUAUCGGCGGUGUGCCUGGGACAUCUAUUGGGGCGUCAAAGUCUUUUAAGCUUUUGGCAAACUUGUCGUGAAGAGUUGGAAGGUAAAGAAAGAAGUUGAGGUAGCCAGCGCCGGAAGUGAAGAAGUAGUAGUAGGGAAUGUUGAGCUCGCGCGCAACGGCGACGGCAGCAAAGCAGAAGCAGUCGAUGAUGAGGCCGUAGACGACAUGGUUUUCGGAGAUGGAGGUGAGGGCGUGGCGGACGUUGGGGUUGUUGAGGCGGAGGAGCUCGAGGGCUAGGGUCUCGUGGUGGGGGGAGGUCGUGGAGAAGUCCGGCGGGAGGGUGGUGGCAGGGAAGAAGUGGAAGGCGAUGGAAGGGACGGCGGCGGAGACGGAGGCGAUGUAGGCGGUGGUGGGGCCGGCGUCAUAAGCUUGGUUGGUGAUGAGGAUGUGGAUGGAGAGGGAAGGGCGGUGGGUGAGGAGGAGCUUGCCGAGCUCCACCAUGGAGAUGAGGUGGCCGAUGGCCGGUGAAGGAUACAGCACGAUUGCUUCCUUCAUUGCUUGGGCUUUGUUGGUGUUGCUGGAACGACGUUUCAGCUCUCUGGGACAAUGGGUUUUGGUGAGAUUGGUUUGUUUCUUUUUGUUCUGGUUUGCAAGUAAUCUUCUCGAGAUCGACGUCUUAUCAACUUUGCUGAGAUUGCUCUAUUAAUGGCCGACACAAUCAUGACAAAUUGUGAAUUGAUUAAUGUGAGGUGACAGUAUUGCUCAUUCUUACUUUAAACACGGAGAAAUUUUGAUAUAACUGCAAUUUAUUUGCAUAAUUGGAUGCGGAAUUAUAGGUUGGUUCAAAUAAAUAUUUUAUAGUCUACAAAGAUAAUGUAGACUGAACUCAUUCCAAUCAUUGAUAAUGCAGGCAGCAGGUCCAUGGGAGAGACCCAUAUAUAAUCAAUUGUUAAGAUGAUAUUGAUCCACAUCAUGAUCUAUAGACUAUAUGUACAAUACCUUCUCAUUGGUUUGGGCUGGCAUUUCACUAGAUCCUUCAUUCAUUCUAUAAUUUCGUUGUAACUGUUUUUUAAAGGGAAAUGAAAGGAGGACAGUCGUGUACACCACAUAUUUUACCAGGGAAUACCUGAUUCUUUGGAAAAAUCAUGAAUCCCACUUGGUGGGUUUUAUAGCCCAUCGACUGAGAUUUCUUCUAAGAGAAAAAAAUCAGCCAAAAUAAAAAUAACGGAAUAAAAAUGAAACUUAUUAACAUUAUCAGUGUUAGAUUAUUAUUUUUUUAUAUUAAGUGCAAAAAAGAAUGAUUGAAACAUUUUCAUUUCGAAAGAAAAUAAAUGUAGAAUUACUAACAGCAUGGAUGCAAAAUAUUUUUCACACUUGUGGUUUUUCCAAUAAAAAAAACUUGUCUGUUUUAAUGAGAAAAUAGAAAAAAAAAAAUUAGUAGUCCAAAUCGAACGAACUAAGGCUAGUGAAUCAAGUUCCUUUGCUCCCAAACCAUAAGUUAGCAUUCCAAAUUGAGGAUUUUUAGAGAAUUUAUCAAUUUGUAGAUGGAAAAUUCAAUAGUUGGUUAUUUUAUCCCUUAAGUAAUUCAUGAAUUUUUUGGAUCUUUUAGAAGUGAGAAUAUUUUUUUUUUCUAAUGCAUAAUCCAUGCUUCUUCUUUUUUUCUUUUGGGAUUUGGUUUGAAGCUUGAUAAGGGAAAAUAUUUUUAAUGCCAUUAAACAGAACUAUAAUAUGACCAGAAAAAAAAACAAUAAAAAAAAAUUAAAUUCAAUUUUCCAAAAUCUUGUCAUUCCAUGAUAGAAUAAUGAUACCACAAUUUGCUUUUCUAUAUUACUGUAGUUAUGUUCUUCAAAAAAUUUCUCUAAUUUCCUUAACUCUUAUUGCCAAAUCCUCACAUAUGGGAAUUUGUGGUCAUUAUGGCACCGUUUUUUAUAGUAACGACGGUAUGGUUAUAUUUGCAGGGUCCAUUCGUAAAUUAGUGGGACUUCUACGCAAUUUUGGAGAGGGCUUUUUAAAAAGCAUUGAUUGUGUUCUAUCAACCAGUUUCCUUUCUUUGGACCGCCGAUGGGUUUGAUACUUGGUCCCAAGGGGAAUGGUUUGACAAAGAGCAGGUGAGCCUGUACCACUUCCUUAAGUAAAACAGAACUGGCAUUUCUUGACUUUUAGCACAAUAAUGACGUAGAUCUGGUCACAAGCACAAUAAUAAAGGCUUGUUUGAGCAAGACAGCUAACCCGACUAGGCGAAUGUAGCAUUCGGGCAUUGUUAGAGGAAGGAUCCGGAGCAAUCCCUAAUCCUUGACAAUGAGGAAUGAAGGCACGAUUAGCGUAUUCGCCAUUUUGAAUGCCUCCCUCUCGAUUAGCUAAAAUUACAAUUUGAGCAUUGCAUCUUAUUUGAAAACACCAUCGAGAAAACACCAUGUAAUUGACUUAUUUGAAAACUCAAUUCUACGUUAUCAAAUCUUUCAAUAAAUGAAAUUAUAUAUAAAGUACAUGUGCAUUUGGCAAUUCUCUAUUUUUACAUGUCAUUAGGUGUAAAUUAUCAAUAAAUUUCGGAAUAUAUGAUGAUUUAUAGUCUAGAGAUGCCAAACGUGCAAAUUCGGCACUGUCUAUUCUUUCGAUCAAUUGAUUGUACGGACAUGAAAAUUAUGUGCAUGGGCAUUACGUUAACAUUGCACCUCCUCGAGCCGAGGCCCGAGAAAUUUCCAAUGAUGAUUAUAAGACAUACGAAAAUCCGUGGAGUUGAUUUAGGUGAGAGAGAAAACAUAAAGGAUUAUAGGAACAUCGCGUGCUUCUUUUCCUUUUCCUCUGUUCCCUUUCUUUUUGGUGCAAUUAAUUUUGCUUCAAUAUGAGUAUUCCCUUAGAUUUCAUUCUGCUCAAGUUAGGUAGAAAAAGAAAACGACAGGAAGCUGUUCAGAGAAAACGCAAUAAAAAAAAUUAAUCAUAGUAUUUUUAAGUGAAUGUGAGCAUGAUCCGAAUUGGAUAAAUCCAGCACCAAAUCUAGGAACCAACUUGCACAAUAUUGGUCCACAAUUUUUGGGACUGAGGACCAACCCUUUUGAGCUUGAGACCAAGUACCAGACUGACCCUAUGAGUCUAAUACUAAUUGAUUAUUUUUUUUAUUUCACUUUUUGCAUUCCUUAAAAGGACAAGUGUACUAUUGCAAAUUAUAUAUGCAUCAAUAAUGCGACAUUGAGUAACCAAAUUAUUGACACAAUCACAUAUCAAAUAUAAAUAUGAGAAAAGAUAACAACAGAAAUUUCAUACUUCUUAAAAGAAACAAACCAUAAAAAUGAACGCACGAGGUAAGUGAGAAGAGGCUAGAGGCAAGUGGAUAGAGGUGACUAAAUCAAGGCGAGUAGACGAGCAAGGCCGAGGUGAGCAAAGAUGGUUUUUAUUUUUUUUAUUUUGGUUGAAUUAGGGCUCAGUUUCUUUUCACUUUCUAAUUUAUGUGACAAACUAAACUGUGAAGAGGACAGAGCAAGAGGUGUUAGAAUUUAGAAUAGACAAAAGUUUAUAAUAUAUAAUAUAUCUAAUACAUAUUAUACUUGAUAUAUAUAUAUAUAUAUAUAUAUAUAUAUAUUAUAAAAUAUAUAUAGGGUUGGUCGGAGUUGGACUAACUCUAAACCUCCAAGACGAGAAUUAACCCGCACACUACAGGGCUCGGGGAUCCUAGGACUAAGGACCAACCUAGUCUCUAUGGGAACCAGACUAGAACUGGCUAGGUUAGGGCUGGUUUGGUUGACUCUGGAUCGAUGUUUAGCCCUAAUUUUAAGUUACGGAUUUACUAAUACAUUAAUGAUAAAUAUAAUAUGAUCGAAUGUGUAACUUGUAACGCAAUCGGUAUGUAUAUUUAUCUAAUCUCUAAGAUACUCUUGAAUUGGUUUUUUUCAGUAGUGAAUCCCUAUGUAAGUUUAGAAAAUAAAUAUUAUCAUUUAAGAUUUUGUCAAAUGUCAUAAUCAUGAAAGUAACUUUUAAUAUUGAAAAUAGCUAUGCAUGUUUUUAUUGACAAUUUCAUUAUCAUGAAAGUAACUUUCAUAAUUGAAAAUAGCUGUGCACAUAUAUUGGGCUAUGGAUGUAGUUGAUGGAGAUUAAAGACUCCCGCUUGCACACACGUGUUCGACAAUAGCGUUAAUACCGGAAUCUGCCUGCAACACCGCCUCCUCCCCGCGUGCCCGUGCAUAGAGAGAUUACGUAGGCAAUUUCGUCCGAUGUAGACCCUUCGAAUACGACAACCUGUAUAUUUAACAGUUCAUUUGUUGUCUAUUUCUAGCGCUGAAAAGAAAAUAAAAUAACCAGAACAUGUCCUGAGGUGCUGCCGACGAAUGGGUAACUGGGUUGUUCUACUGUAAGAGCGCUUCAUAGCCGAAUGAAAUGAUUCCUCAAAAGCUGCCAUAACUUAGAGAGCACUGCAACCUUGUACCAAGAUUUGGAACCGUUACGGUCUGCAAAUCCGCCCGAAAAUUAAAAUAGGUAACACAGAGGGAGAGAACGAUUUGGAGUGUACAGUCCAAGAGAGAUAUUAUUUCACCCAUAAAACAAAGGACUUUAUUUGCACGGGGGAUCAAAGCGCAGCAUACAAGACGAAACUCGAUCAUGCGCACGUUCUGCUUACGUUGACUGAUAAAACCGAUGCAUAGAAAGAACACGCCACUUCGUCUGUGACGUCCGUCCUUUCGCCUCCCUCGAAUGUUGCCUACCUAAAAGACGACGAGAAAAUAUCACCAGCGGACGGCUGAAUGAGCCAAUGAGUCCGGCGCGUUUCACUCGCGCUUCCACGACUCGACGAGUCUGGCCAACGCCAACCGAGACGACCCGCCGGGGCUCAGAGCAGCCUUAGCUUCUUCCUUCAUGGCGAGCGUUCGUUCUCUCACCAUCUUGCCCUCUUCACUCUCCAUCAAUUCUCUGACUCGCUUCUCCACCUCCUCUGACCUCACCGACCCGUCCUCUGACUCGUCCACCGGUAGGGCGAUCCUCAUCUCCUGCACCAGCAGCACCCUGUUAUGCCGCUGCUCCGCAUAGAGCGGCCACGCCAGCAUCGGUAUGCCUGCACACACUGCCUCAAGGACUGAGUUCCACCCGCAGUGAGUCACGAACCCGCCCACCGACGGGUGGCUCAACACGGCCACCUGCGGGGCCCAUUUCUUGACCACGAGCCCCCUCUCUUUGGUACGUUCCAAGAAGCCCUCCGGAAGCAGCGAGUCCAAGUCUGGGGCGGGCAUCGCAAACAUGGAGGCCUUUUGGUUCUUAUCCUCUGAUGGGUUACGGACCACCCACAAGAACCGUUGACCGCUCCUUUCCAGUCCCGUCGCUAUUUCCUGCAGCUGUUCCACCGAGAAGACGCCCAAGCUCCCGAAACACAAGAACACGACGCUCCCUCUUGGCUGCGAGUCCAGCCAUGUCAGACAAUCUGGAGAUCCACCAUCGUCGCCUCCUCUGCUCGAGAUCAGUGGCCCGAUGCAGUAAAGCGGCGGAGUGGGUCCACCGGGCACACACUGGCCGUCCAUGAUGGCUCGUAUCGCUCUAUGCUCGAGCUUCUCGAAGGUGUUGACUAUGAUCCCGGCUGAAGUCUGCAUCUUCAAGGACGAUUCCAAGAAGCCCUUGUAGGCCUCAUCGUAGCGAUCCUGUAUCGGAUCAGCAACAUCGGAGGGCGGUAUUGGCGGUGUGCCGGGGACAUCUAUGGGGGUGGCAAAGUCUUUUAAGCUUUUGGCAAACUUGUCGUGAAGAGUUGGGAUGUAUAGGAAGAAGUUGAGGAAACCGGCCCCCGAAGUGAAGAAGUAGUAGCAGGGGAUGUUGAGCUCACGCGCGACGGCGACAGCAGCGACGCAGAAGAAGUCGAUGAUGAGGCCGUGAACGACAUGGUUCUCGGAGAUAGAGGUGAGGGCGCGAUGGACGUUGGGGUUGUUGAGGCGGAGGAGCUCGAGGGCGAGGGUCUCACGGUGGGGGGAGGUGGUGGAGAAGUCCGGGGGGAGUGUUGUGGCGGGGAAGUAGUGGAAGGCAAUGGAGGGGACAGUGUCGGAGAUGGAAGCGAUGUAGGUGGUGGUGGAGCCGGCGUCGUAAGCUUGGUUGGUGAUGAGAAUGUGGAUGGAGAGGGAAGGGCGGUGGGUGAGGAGGAGCUUCCCGAGCUCCACCAUGGAGAUGAGGUGGCCGAUGGCCGGUGACGGAUACAGCACGAUUGCUUCCUUCAUUGCUUGGGAUUGUUGGAAUUGCCGGAACGACGAUGAAGCUCUCUGACAACGAGGGUUUCGGUGAGAUUGGUUUGUUUCUUUUUGUCUGGUUCACAAUUUAUCUUCUCGAGAUGACGUUGAUGCAUGGGGGAAUGACACAAUCAGUUGCAAAUUUGUUUAUGUGAGGUCAAAGUGGUGGCCCAAUACCAUUGGGCCAAUAGUGCUUGAAACAUGGAGAAAUUUUGAUAAGUGCAAUGUCUAUAAUUUGUUUAUGUGAGGUCAAAGUAGUGGUCCAAUACUAUUGGGCCAAUAGUGCUUGAAACAUGGAGAAAAUUUUGAUUGGUGCAAUGUCUAUAAUUUGUUUAUGUGAGGUCAAAGUAGUGGCCCAAUACUAUUGGACCUAUAGUGCUUGAAACAUGGAGAAAUUUUGAUUAGUGCAAUGUCGAUAGAAAAUUGAAUCUGUAACAUUGAAAAUGAUGGGUCGACCAAAUCCGAGUGUUUACAUUUAGUUUUGUAUAGAUUCACAUUCGAAUGAAUACUCAGCUUAUAUUCAUGGGACACUUGCUGUAAAACGUGGUGUCCCAUUCAAAUGAAUACUAUAGGCUGGUUUAGAAAAAAAUGUUUUAUAGCCUAUAGAUCAUAUAGACUAAAGUCAUUUUUUUAUCGAUGAUGUAGGCGUUAUGGGGAGCCCCAUUAAUAAUUAAUAGUUAAGACAAUAUUGAUCCACAACAUGAUGAUCUAUUAACUCAUUGUAAAAGCAUUGAUCGUGCUCGAUCAACCGCUCUCCUUCUUUUGUCAGCCAAUAGGUUGACUCUUAGUUCCCAAGGAAGUGGGUUGACAAAGAGCAGCCUAACCAGUAUGAUGUCAAUAAGAAUAAUAGAAUCGACCUUUCUUAACUUCUCGCACAAAAAUGUUGUAGAUCUAUAAAUGUGAUUUGGUCUCGGUUAUCAAUAAUGUUCAGAAUUAUAUAAAAAAAAACUUACAGAUGCCAAACGUCCAGAUUUAUAUGGCCGGCAGUUGAUCGACGAUGAUUUGGAUGUCAGCCAUUUCACAUGAUGUCAUCAACGCUAACAUAAAUAAUUUUUAAUAAUGUUUUAAUUUUUUUUUUCUUUUUUCUUUCGUUCGUUAUUCACUUUCUUCUUCCUCUAACAAGUUGCCGACUUGUACCCAGAGCCAACAAGUGACAAUCAACUAGAAGAAGAAGAGAGUGAAGAAUUAAGAAAGAAAAAGAAAUACAAAUACAAAUACAAAUACAAAUACAAAUACAAAUAUCAAAAUAAAUAUUAAAAUAUUUAAAAAAAAAUCCACGCCAGUGUCAGUGGCACGUGUCAAGUAAAAAAAGAAAUAACAUAAAAUUAUCUAUAGAAAAUGCUAUAAAAAAAAAAAACCAAUCCCAAUAUUUUAAUAUACGAGUUUAUUAAUACAUUAAUGAUAAUUACAAUAGGAUUGAACGUAUAAUUUGUAACGUAAUUUUUAUGUAUAUAUUUAUCUAAUCUCUAAGGACGCCCAUUACUUGACAUGGUCAAUCACUAUCAACCAAAAUCAUAUUGAAGUUUAGAAGCUAAACAUUUUCAUUUAAGAUUUUCCCAAUAUUAUUGAAAAUGGCGAUUCUCGUUCAAAAGUCGUUGUGAUGCAUUAGCAUACAAUGGACUAGUUUGGUAGUAUCACCUGCUGGUUAGGUAGUGCACGUGCGUCUCGGUAAAGCCGAAACAAUAGCACGCAACGAAUACUCUAGGGCCUCCUUCUUCUUUUUUGCCAUUAUCAAAAGCAAAAAAAAAUUAUUUCUUUCCCAUCAAAAUCGAAAUGCUAUUAAAAUGCCAAAAUACUAUGAAAAAAAAAAGCAUUUGCGCUAAUUUACGUGCCAGUAGUUAUAUACCAUGACAAAUUUUGAUUUUAUGAAUAAAAAAUUCAAAUUAUAUGAAAUGCAAGAUGUCAAUUAAGAAAAAGAAAAACGAAAAGUUGAACUUGACCCCUCUAUAUCUUUUACAAAAGAAAUAAUUGUAGAAAAUAACUUCAAUUUUACACUUAUGUAUCAAAAACCCUCGUCACUUUUAAGGAUCUUUAGAUUGCGUCUCUUCCGAAUCAAAAACCCCCAACUUUGAUCAGGACAAGAUUUGAGCCAAUGACCAUUACCAGUCUCAAGUCCAAGGUCGGCACCCUAGGGACAGCAAGGGGUAGCUUGAGGAGGCUAUGAAUAUCAAUUCUUCAAACAUAAAUGAUUGCGAAGAAUGAAUAACAACUCUUCAAACCUUUGAUUACUGCAAUUUCGAAUGAAACACUGGAAAAAUCAUAUGAGGUAUUGAAAUUUUGAUUAUAACAUUGUUUGGCAAAGCAAUACGAUCAAGCUCCCAAACAACUAUUCAUAUAAGAAAGAUGUGUUUCAACAUCCAAUAAAAAUGUAUUACGCCAAUGUGUACGUGAGUUUUCUUAUACUUAAACCUUGCCGUUGUGUAAAUAUUAGAAGUAUAUUUGGAUUUACUUUCAAAUUCUUUUGUCCAAAUUUGAGGUGCACAAAUGUUGAUUUUUUUACUCAAUUUUUUUUUUUUAUAUGUGCUUGUGGGUGAAUAACCAUGUACAUUUGCAAAUAUGAUUUUUGUUAUCUUCGUAAUGUGGAUGAUAAUUUGAUUUUACUGGAAAAAAUUUAAAAUUCGAGGAAGUAAAAGGAACAUCAAAUGCACGCUAGUAUAUUUAAAAGUACAGAUUAGUUUGUGAGACAAAAUAAAUUUCUUUUCUAAAAAAGAUAAAUUUUCGUCAUUGUAUUUUAACGUGCUUUUUAAAAUUGAAAUCCAUAUAUUAAAUCCAGCCAAGGUGUCAUUGGAAAAUUUGUGAUGAGACAUGGAUAAAGUUUUUCCAAUAUGAACAUCCAAAUGGCUAUUUAGUUGACUAUGUUUUAUCCACGUCAUAUUCUAUUAUUGUCUACGUUAUUUGAUUAUUUCCACAAAUGUUCGUGAAUUAUGUAUUCUUUAUAUAUUGUUUUUAAAUGCAGCUGCACUUUAAAGUUGAAUGAGAUAUUUUUCAAAAGUUAUCAUAAUUUUAGAGGUGUUGUAACCGGUGAUAUAUCAAAAUCGCGUAACUCAGAUUAUUUCCUAAUGAUACAGUUGCUGUCUGUAAAACCACCCGAAAAUGGAGAUAGAUAAUCCAAAACGAGAGAACGAAUUCCAGAGAGAUAUUGUUUCAUUCAGAAAAUAAAGGAUUUUGUUUGCACGUGGAGAACGAAGCACAGGCCACUUUGUUUGUAACGCGCGUCGAUUCGCCUCCCUCGAAUAUUGCAAACCCAAAAGACGACAGAAAAAUUCGUCAACGGACGGCCAACCACACGACCUACAAAAUCCAGGGCAUUUCAUUCGCGCUUCCACGACUCAAUAAGUCCAGCCAAUGCCGACCGAAAGGACCCGCCGAGGGUCAGAGCGGCCUGAGCUUCUUCCUUCAUGGCAAGCACUCGCUCUCUCACCAUCUUGCCCUUCUCAGGGUGUGCAACGGAAAUCGCCUAAAUCCGAAAUCGCCCCGAACUAGACCGGAUUAGCUGGUUUUGGACGGCUUAGGGGAUCCCGGUCUGAUUCCCGGUUCCUAUUUUUGGAAUGGGUGAUCAGACAGUUCAAUUUCCGGUUUCAAAGCGGGAACCAAACCAACCAGACCAAAUCAAUAAUUUAUGAUUUAAAAAAAAAAAAAAAUUCUGGGCAACCCUAUUGACGGGUUUGCACAAAAGGAAAAUCGUAAGUGCUGCCUACCCAAUAUCUUUUAGUGGGGAAGAAAAAGAAAUCCUGGAACAAAACGUGACUUGCCAUGCAACUGCUCCCUAAACCAAAGAAGAAGGAAAAAGGAAGCUACCUGACAUUCCUCUCUUUUUACUCCUCUUUCUUUUGUUUUAUUUUCAAACUUACAUCAAAAGUUGAGAAAAAGCCUCUCUCUCUCUCUCUCGUCCUCUCUAGAGUAGCAUGCUGCCCCUUGCACGUGUGCUCUCCCUUGCACGCGUAGUCUCCCUUUCGUAGCAUCUAUCAGACGUCAACGUUUUGUACCCGCGAUCAUAGCCUCGCCUCACGCCUCACUCCGAUUGAGUCGUUCGAGCCUCAACGUCAACGCCUUUCCCUCUCGUAGCCUCGCCUCCCACUUAACUCAACGUUGAUGCCUUUGCCUCGUGCUAGAUGUCGACACCUUUCAAGGAGUAUCACUUUAAAUUGUAAACUUUAAUUGAAGAGAGCUCUUGAUCUGAACAACUAAAGGAUUUAUAUUUAUUUGUUUUUUUCAAUGUAACGACAAAAAGUGAUUUGCUCUAUUGGAACUGGACUCGACCAACCAGUCCAGUCCUAUUCCUAGUUCUAGGACUAGCCGGUCCAGUCCACAGUAAAAUUGGGAAGCGAUUCUUCGGGUCUCGUUCCUGGUUCUUGGAUGGAACUUGGUUGGACUGGGAAAGAUCACCCCUACAAUCCUCACUCUCCAUCAAUUCUUUGACUCGCUUUCCACCUCCUCUGACCUCUCCAACCCAUCCUCCGACUCGUCCACCAGUAGGGCGAUCCUCAUCUCCUGCACCAACAGCACCCUAUUGUGUCGUUGCUUCCCGUAGAGUGGCCACACCAGCAUUGGCACACCCGUGCACACCGCCUCAAGCACCAAGUUCCACCUGCAGUGAGUCACGAAUCCAUCCAUCGAGGGUUGGCUCAACAGCUCUACCUGCGGGGCCCAUUUCUUGACCUCGAGCCCCCUCCCUUUGGUAUGUUCCAAAAAGCCCUAUGGAAGCAGUGAGGUCUGUAAGAGUUUUCCUAAUGUAAAUAAUAUUAAUUGUUAUUGUAAUUUAUCGUUUUACGGGGUUGGUCUAAAAUGAGAUAUAAUAUUUUUUAAUUAGUCUAAUAUGAAACAGCUAAUGUGGGCUGAGUUAAGCCUAGCCCAUAAUAAAAGGGCUUGGUUGGAAAGCUCAAGUCUGUUCUCUAACCAUAAUUUUCACAAGUAUCCUCACAAAAUGAGCAUUUACCUUAAAGGGUGAUGGGUUGUGUCGGGAGUGUUGGAGAAAUCUCUCUAGAGUGUUUUGAAGCUGACAAAACGUUUCUAUCAGUCUAGUCUGGAAGCUGUGCAGACCCUUGUACUUAGAGUCUGAAGACUUUCAGAUCACCAGACUCAGCACACAAGACUCAAGACUCAAGAUUAUUCUCAUUGACAAUUUCUAAUCUAGCGACGAAGGCGAUCCAGAGCUAAAGUGUUUGGUUAAGGAUUUGGUCUUGUCGACUGGAGAAGAUCUCCUGGCUGGAUUUGAUACAACGGAUUAAUUAUUCGAAAUCAAGAUCGUUUGAAGAUCCGAUGAUUGACGAAAUAUUCUUGGAAGGUUCUAUUCUUGGAAACCAAGAUCCUGAUUGUAUGGGCGAACAGGAUUGAUGGGCUAUCGACAUGUUCCUUUAAUAGCUCGAAUGACUUUCUUAAUUGAUUCUGUCCAAUGGGAAGAUUGGAAGAAUUCCUUUGGUAAGUUUCAACGGGUAUGAUGGCAUAAAGGAGUAUAAAAAGAAGACGUUCCAGUUAUUCUAGUAAGUGCUCGAUAGAGAAAUUCCAGAGUCUGAAGCUCCUUGAUUAUUAGUCGAUUCAUAUUGAGCGAAACUGUACACACAAAGAGAGUCUAUACUUAGUGAUACCUUGAGAGAGUGUAGUAGAUCUUCUACACCAAGAAAUCAAGGAAGAACAGUGCUGUAAUAUCUCUUUGUUCAUAGUGGAAUCCAACCAGUGGGCUGUCAGUGCAGAAGAGUGGACGUAGGCUUGAAAUAAGCCGAACCACUAUAAACCUCGUGUUCAAUUUUCUCUUCCCUACUCUCAGUCUUACUUUGAUUGUUGUUUGUUUAUUGACGAAGAAAAAUUGUCUCAUUUCUAUCAAUUGUCUAGUAUUGUGCAAUUAUCAUUAGAAAUUACUCGUUAUACCUAUUCACCCCCCUCUAGGUACUUAUACUAGUCAUAUCAAUUGGUAUCAGAGCUCGUGUACUCACUUUAUUUGAAGUGUUUUACUUCAGAGUAAAAGAUCCAUGGCUAGUAUGCUAGCUCCAGGGCUAGUGGAAGGUCAAAGCAAUACCAGACCUCCUUACUUUGAUGGAAAGGACUACAACAUCUGGAAAAACAAAAUGAAAGCAUUUCUUCGAUCAAAGGAUCCUCUAGAAUGGGACGUUGUAGAAAAAGGAAUCACUCCUAAAGUUGCAUCCGUCUCAGAAAGAGGGAAAUAAACUGUUGAGACCAGCGGAAUGUCUCAGGAAGAGAUAAUCAAGAGACAAACUCUUGAUGCAAAAGCUAUAUAUUCUUUAUAUUGUGCCUUGUCACCCACUGAAUAUAACAAAAUAUCUUCUUGUGUUACAGCAAAAGAAGUCUGGGAUAGGUUACAUAUCACCUAUGAAGGAACUGAUCGAGUAAAAGAGACCAGAAUCAACAUCCUUCUCGGUCAAUAUGAAGCCUUCAAAAUGAGACCUGGAGAAUCUAUAACUGACAUGUUUAGCCGUUUUACAGAAAUUGUAAAUGGUCUUGAAAAUCAAGGACAACCAAUUUCUGAUCCCAUGAAGGUAAACAAGCUACUGCGUGGACUCUCCAAGGAUUGGAAUCACAUAAAGACUUCAAUAAGAGAGACGCGAAGAAUCAUGCCACUAUAUGUCGAUGAGCUGGUUGGAACUCUUCAGUCUUAUGAAGUGGAACGAAUUAACGAAGACAAAGAUCCAAAAGGUAAGAAAUCCAUUGCAUUAAAAUCAAAUGAUGAUUCUGAUGCUACAGAUUCUGAAGAUGAUAUGGACAAUGAGGAGCUUGCUCUCAUGAUAAGAAGAUUCAGAAAGCUGAAUAGAAAAGGAAGAAAAUUCAACUCAAAGAAACAAAGCUUUCAAAGAUAACAGACCAAGUCUGUUGAUGAUGAUGAAUCAAACAAAGAUAUAGUUUGCUUUGAAUGUAAGAAAAGGGGACACAUCAGACCCAACUGUCCUCUUCUAAAAAAGAAGAAAGGAAAAGCUGAAAAGCUGAAAAGCCUCGAAAGGCUCUCAAAGCCGAAACCUGGAGUGAUGCAGAGUGUGAAGGAAGUGAUGAUGAAUAUGCCAAUUUGUGUCUGAUGGCGCAAUCAGACUCAGACUCAAACUCUAAAUCAGACUCAGACAGUGAAUUUGAGGUAAGUAAUUUUAAAAUUCCUGUCAAGGUUUCUAAGUAUAUUGAUGAGCUGUGUUUUAGUCUUAAGACUUCUCUUAAAAGGAUUUCCGAACUUAAAAAAGAAAACGUUGUUCUAAAACAACAGGAAAUGUGUUGAAAGAAAGAGUUAAAUGUUUAGACAUGAAUGUUUCUACUCUUAAAGAAAGUGAAGAAAAUCUUUUGAAAGAAAAUGCUCUUUUAAAAAUUGACUCAUCAAAUAUUUCAAAUAAAUUUUCAAUAGGGUUCGAAAAACUUGAAAAAAUUCUUUCAGCUCAAAGACCUUAUUUCAAUAAGUCUGGUUUAAGUAUGACUGCGGAAACUAUUCCCUUGAUUGAUUUUCCUAAAGUAAAAGAAAUAAUCAAGCAAAGACCCUCAAGAGAGGCCUACAAAAAUCAUUUCAAGAAGGUUUUUGUAAAGUCUGUAGGUCGAAAUGCUCUCAAGUGUUUAAAAUGCAAUAGCCCGGAUCACUUUGAAAAAGAGUGUCCUAUGGUUUGGAAACCUGUUAAGAAAACAUGGGCUAAUACUGUUUAUCUUACUAAUACCAAUGGACCCAAGAAAAUAUGGGUACCAAAGAAAACUUGAGACUCUCUUUUAAAUGCAGGUCUCCAUCAAAGAAAAGGUAAAGUGGUAUCUGGACAGUGGAUGUUCAAGACAUAUGACAGGAGACUCAAAUUGCUUUAUAAAGCUCGUUCAAGUAAAUGGUGGAAAAGUCUCAUUUGGUGGAAACAGCAAAGGAAGAAUUGUGGGAUUUGAAACUGUGAAAAUUGGAAAUCUCACAAUAAGUAAUGUUUCCCUAGUAGAAGGACUCAAUUAUAAUCUUCUCAGCAUAAGCCAACUAUGUGAUACUGGUUUUAAGAUCUUCUUUCAAGAAGGAAUAUGUUCUGGAAUCAGUAAAGACUCUACUCAGUCUUUUAUGGGUCGAAGGCAUGGAAAUAUCUAUCUUCUAUAUAUGAAACCGGAUGAAUCGCAAUGCUUAAUUUCAAUUCAAGACGAAGUAAGCUUGUGGCACAGAAAGCUUGGUCACAUCAAUAUGAAGCAGAUAGCCAAAAUCUCAUCAAAGCAGCUUGUUCGUGGUCUACCCAAUUUAUCAUACCAAAAGUCUGAUCUAUGCACUCCAUGUAUAUUGGGAAAGCAUGUAAGAAAUUCAUUUAAGCCAAUAAAUCAUGUCUCUACUAAUCAUGUACUGCAGCUGUUGCAUAUGGAUCUCUUCGGACCAACCAGAACCCAGAGCAUUGGAGGUAAGAAAUAUUGCCUAGUGAUCGUGGACGAUUACUCCCGAUUUACUUGGGUAUAUUUCCUUGCAAGUAAGUCUGAAACCUUCUCGUAUUUUGAAAAAUUUGCUAAAAAGGUUCAAAAUGAAAAAGGAUAUGUCAUUUCAAGUAUAAGAACAGACCAUGGAGGUGAAUUUGAAAAUCAAGAUUUUACAAAAUUUUGUGAUGAAUCUGGCCUCAAGCAUGUGUUCUCCUCUCCAUACACUCCUCAGCAAAAUGGAGUUGUGGAAAGAAAGAAUAGAUCUCUUCAAGAAAUGGCUAAAACUCUUUUAAUUGAAAGUAAGAUUUCUUCACAAUUUUGGGCUGAAGCUGUUUCAACAGCGUGCUAUAUCAUAAAUAGAGUCUUUUUAAGACCUAUUCUAGAGAAAACCCCUUAUGAGUUAUUCAAAGGCAAGAAGCCUAUUGUUUCGUACUUUCAUGUGUUCGGUUGCAAAUGCUUUAUAUUGAAAAAUGCAAAAGAUCGAGUUGGUAAGUUUGAAGAAAGAUCAUAUGAAGACAUCUUCCUUGGAUAUUCUACAUCAAGCAAAGCCUACAGAGUCUAUAACAAGAAGAGUCAAUCAGUGGAGGAAUCAAUGAAUGUCAAAUUUCAAGAUUCAAUGCAAAAUGAAUCCAGUCAGACUCAACAUGAAGAAUCUGAACCUGCUCCAGACUCUUCAAAGCUUACAUCUCAAGAAGCAUCUCAGACUCUGGAAGACCAGCAUCAAGUUGUUCGUGAAGAUUCAAGUAAAGAAAGAGAUCAUCAAUCAGACAAAUCAACCAGUAACUGGAAGCAUAAGUCCAGUCAUCCCAAAGAUCUCAUUAUUGGCGAAAUUAAUGAAGGAAUUCGCACCAGAUCCAAAAGGCGUGAAGAGUCUAGUGCUGUGGCACUUGUUUCUGAAAUAGAACCCAAAAGCAUAGAAGAAGCUUUAUCAGAUGAAAGCUGGAUUGAAGCUAUGCAAGAAGAGCUCAGGCAAUUCAGUAUCAAUGAUGUCUGGGAAUUGACUCCUAAACCAAAAGGUAAAUCUGUUAUUGGAGCUAAAUGGGUUUUCAGGAACAAGAUGAAAGAGAAAGGAAAAGUCGUAAGAAACAAAGCAAGACUCGUGGCCAAGGGAUAUACGCAAGAAGAAGGGAUAGACUAUGAUGAGACCUACGCUCCAGUAGCAAGGUUAGAAGCUAUUCGAUUAUUGCUUGCUUUUGCUUGUUAUGAAAAUUUCAGGUUAUUCCAAAUGGACGUCAAAAGUGCCUUCCUGAAUGGAUUUAUCCAUGAGGAAGUUUAUGUGGAACAACCACCAGGGUUUGAAGACCCAAAGAAACCAGACUCAGUCUUCAGACUGAAAAAUGCCUUGUAUGGUUUAAAGCAAGCACCUCGAGCUUGGUACGACAGACUAAUCUAUGCAGGAUGAGUUUGAAAUGAGUAUGAUGGGAGAGUUAACCUUCUUUCUUGGACUUCAAGUAAAACAAUUGAAGGAAGGAACUUUCAUUCAUCAAGAAAAAUAUGCUAAUGAUCUUGUCAAAAGGUUUGGACUGGAAAAGUGCAAAAAGACCGACAUACCAAUGUCAAGUUCUUUGAAGAUAGACAAAGAUGAAGAAGGGAAGAAAGUUGAUCAAAAGCUGUACAGGAGUAUCAUCGAUUCACUUCUUUAUCUUAUUGCCUCUAGACCUGACAUUUUGUUGAGUGUGUGCAUCUGUGCUAGGUUUCAAUCAGACCUUAGAGAAUUUCAUCUCAGUGCUGCGAAACGGAUUAUUAAAUACAUUGCUUCAUCUUCAAGUAUCGGUCUUUGGUAUCCUAAGAAUGGAGACUUUAAUCUUAUUGGAUAUUCAGACGCAGAUCUAGCCGGUUGCAGAGUUGAUAGAAAGAGCACCUCGGAAACUUGCCAAUUGCUUGGGAACAUGACAAUGUCUUGGUUUUCAAGGAAACAAAACACUGUGGCUCUCUCUACAACAGAAGCAGAGUAUGUAGCUCUUGGAAGUUGUUGUUCGCAAAUUAUGUGGAUAAAACAACAGCUACAAGACUUUGGAAUUGAAGACUCAUGCACUGAGAUUAGAUGUGACAGCACCAGCGCAAUCAAUCUUACUAAAAAUCCAAUCCUUCACUCAAGGGCAAAGCAUAUAGAGAUUCGCCAUCACUUCAUUAGAGAUCAUGUUCAAAAUGGAGAAAUCUCGAUUCAAUUUGUUGAGUCAAAGAGCCAACUAGCGGAUAUAUUCACAAAGCCUUUGGAGAAGAAUCAAUUCGUUAUCAUCCGUUCCAAACUCAACAUUUUGAAGCUUGAGGAAAUCAAAGUCUAGAGACUCUCAGACUCUCAGACUCAACCAUUCACGGCCAUAGACUGUAAGUUGUUUUAAUAUUCAAUCUCGAAAAGGUACGAUCUUUCGUUCAGUUAUAUUUGAUUUAUCUUUAAUUUCCGAGAAAAACGGAAUCUUGUCUUUUCAAAAAGAUAAUCUCUAUUAAAAAGGCAAUUAUCGUUUUUAAAAAGGGGACGACUGUUCACUUUCCUUUAUGUUGAUUGGUUUUUUCCUUUCUUUAACUGGGUUAUAUACAGUAAGUUGUCUUCUUCGCUUAACUCCAAAACCCUAAAAAGGCAUUCUCCUUCCAAUCCUGUCUCGAUUUCGUGUUCAUCUUUGAGAAAGUUGUCAUCUUUUCUUGGGAAAGCGAGUCAAGGAAUCUUUCAACGACAAGAAACGAUGUCUUCUUCUAGAAGGUCUUCAAGAAUCGCAAGCAGGGGACCACAGAGAAUGAGGGAGGGUCCUACCCAUUUCGAUCUCACCGAGGAAGAAGAGUUACCGAGACAGCAACAGAGCCCGAUUCACUCUCAGCCACGUCAAUCUCCAUUAUCUACCCCACAGAGUGUGGAUCAACUACCACAGGAAGAAAUAAUCGAGGAAGCAGACCUUGUAAGAGUCCAAAAACCCACUUUUAUUUAUAAGCUCUAUCGUGCUUUGAAAAGCAUAGGUACACCACUGAACUAUGUGGAUGCCUUCCUUAAAGACAAAGGGUAUAAAAAUGAGUAUAUCUUUUUGCAACGGAUGGAGGAUUUGGGAAUUGCUUCCAAAGGAAAGGCUGAGGAAGCACUUGCGAACAUUCCAAGUGACCCUCGUGUAGGGGGAUUUAAUCCGACUGACAGGAAUGACGAUGAUAAACUAUUUAGAGAAUUCCAACCCAGGAUGGGUGUUGCUGCGAAAGUGAAAGGAAAAAGAACGGAGUUGUUCAAAUCAAAGGAACAGGAGGAUCUGUUUUUCAAAUUGUUGAAACGGGGGGUAAUAAACCCCAGGAGCGUUGAUUUUGAUUUUCUGGAUGCCAUCAAUGUGAACUUAAAGGAGAAGUUCAAUCUGCUUCAACUAGAGCAAUUUUGCUCUGACACCACAGACGGCUAUGCACAAUUGACAGCAUAUUUCUAUUCGAAUCUCAGCUUUUUAGAUGCGAAUAGAAUAUCCUUCAGUGUUCGAGACCAAGACUAUGAGGUAGAUGUGGACAUGUUGGCAGACAUAAUUGGAGUUGAAAGAGGACGAUAUCAACCGAUCAAGGUUUCAAUCGCUCGUACCACACUGGAACUUGUCAAAGACAGGAGUACAGAAGGAAGAGUUACCUACACAAGAAUGCAUGCCAUCAACAUCUUACUGCACAAAAUCGUGAUCAACUGUCUCAGGCCAAAAUCAACAUCCAAGAUAGACGUGUCUAAUUCUAAGGCGAAAUUGAUGUACGCGAUCAAUUCAGGGAAGAAGUUCUCUCUUCCUCACACCAUUCUCUUCCACAUGUACAGAGCAAUGGUGAAGGAUAAGGGCUAGUUGCCUUACUCAGGUCUUGUGACUAAGAUUUUCAGACACUUGAACAUUGAACCUCCACAUACUCUUUGCGUUCGACCAUGCGAUAAAAUGGUGGUGGGUUUGAAAAUGCUGACAAAAAUGCGUCUGAAAGAGCUUGAUAAGGCAAUGGAGAAGUUCAAAGUGAAAACUCCAGUUAAAUCUCAUCCAGUCUCUUCUGCGUCGAAAAGGAAAGGGAAGGAGCCCAUGGGUGCUCCAUCCAAAAAGAAAAGAGCUCUAAUCUUAGAGGAUGAAGAUGAAGAUGAUGAACUCACUAUCUCUGCCUUGGCUUUGAAAAGACUCAGUCUAACUGUAUCCGAAUCAAUGGAACGACAGGAGAAAAGAAAAGAAGCAGAGGAACAAGAACAUAGAGAAGCAGAGGAGAGAGAAGAGAAAGAAAAAGAAGAAGAGGAGAAAGAAGUUGAAGAAGAAGAAGAAGCAGUCAAAGAAAAGUCUGCAGAUGAAGCUGGAGAGAAAGGCAAUCAAGAUUCUACUGAGCAUGACCAUCACUAUUCCCCAAAUGAGGCCUUAGAAACAGAGGGAGAUGACGAGCAAGGAAGGACUACACCAUAUCAUGAUCACAGUGAAGGUGUGAGUCGCUCGCAAGCAAAUCCAGAAGAUAUUCAGGCUUCUCAAAUGCCUGAGGAAGGACAUGACACCUCAACACUAAAUUUGCGCGAUUACACCGAAGUUCCAUCGUCUGCCUUCACUCCAUCUGAUAGAGCAAAUGCCAGCACGCAGACGGACAAUACCGCAGAUUUUCGUCGUAUCCUUGAUCUACUUCUGGCAAUGCAGGGUCAAAUAUAUGCUUUGGAAUGUGAACUUCAAGUCCUGAAGAAUUCUGGACAAGCGUCUUCUGUUACCCUGUCGGAUCAAAUACAAGACCUCGCUCAUCAAAAUCAAGCAAAUGCCAAAGGAGUAGAGGUGACUCGUCUAAGGGAAGACUUGAAGAGGCUGGAAGGUGUCGUAUAGUCGAUGGGAGAUUUCCAGAUUGUGCGUGUUCCCAAGCAGACUUGACUCUUUCUCACCUUUUUAAUGAUGACAAAAAGGGGGAGAAUUGCCAGCUUUGAACUGAACUAAACUUUGAUUUUGAAUCUGUCUUUAAUUUCAGUUUGUUUGGAUAUUUAUUUUUGAGUAUGACUUGAGUGUGGUGGACUUGGUGAAUUUGACUGACUUGAGUGUGUGGAUUUGAAAUUGACUGUUGCAUUAUUUAUAUCAAGUGUUAUUGUAUGUCUUUACUCAUGAAAGACUAACCUAUUUUCUGUGGAUGCAGAGUCUAGUUGAGUUAUUAAUCUUUAUGAGAUAUCCAUACUGCUUGAGUAAUGUUUUUGCAGGUCAAAGUUGUUCAAAUCUACAGGAAAGUUUUGUCACCAUCAAAAAGGGGGAGAUUGUUGGAGAAAUCUCUCUAGAGUGUUUUGAAGCUGACAAAACGUUUCUAUCAGUCUAGUCUGGAAGCUGUGUAGACCCUUGUACUUAGAGUCUGAAGACUUUCAGAUCACCAGACUCAGCACACAAGACUCAAGACUCAAGACUAUUCUCAUUGACAGUUUCUAAUCUAGCGACGAAGGCGAUCCAGAGCUAAAGUGUUUGGUUAAGGAUUUGGUCUUGUCGACUGGAGAAGAUCUCCUGGCUGGAUUUGAUACAACGGAUUAAUUAUUCGAAAUCAAGAUCAUUUGAAGAUCCGAUGAUUGAUGAAAUAUUCUUGGAAACCAAGAUCCUGAUUGUAUGGGCGAACAUGAUUGAUGGGCUAUCGACAUGUUCCUUUAAUAGCUCGAAUGACUUUCUUAAUUGAUUUUGUCCAACGGGAAGAUUGGAAGAAUUCCUUUGGUAAGUUUCAACGGGUAUGAUGGCAUAAAGAAGUAUAAAAAGAAGACGUUCCAGUUAUUCUAGUAAGUGCUCGAUAGAGAAAUUCCAGAGUCUGAAGCUCCUUGAUUAUUAGUCGAUUCAUAUUGAGCGAAACUGUACACACAAAGAGAGUCUAUACUUAGUGAUAUCUUAAGAGAGUGUAGUAGAUCUUCUACACCAAGAAAUCAAGGAAGAACAGUGCUGUAAUAUCUCUUUGUUCAUAAUGGAAUCCAAUCAGUGGGCUGUCAGUGCAGAAGAGUGGACGUAGGCUUGAAAUAAGCCGAACCACUAUAAACCUCGUGUUCAAUUUUCUCUUCCCUACUCUUAGUCUUACUUUGAUUGUUGUUUGUUUAUUGACGAAGAAAAAUUGUCUCAUUUCUAUCAACUGUCUAGUAUUGUGCGAUUAUCAUUAUAAAUUACUCGUUAUACCUAUUCACCCCCCCUCUAGGUACUUAUACUAGUCAUAUCAGGGAGAAGAACUUGUGCAUGGAUCAUCGCUUUUUCGCUUCCGCAUAAAAAAACAAUGGAUUCCAAAACAUGUGCAUUAAUUUUUCUACUCGAUUAUCUAUGCUUUUGUUCUAGUUAUGGAGAUCAUGGGAUUGCACGUUUUGUAUCUUACAAGACCAAGUCCGGGUCGGAUAUUAUCGACAUGGUGGCCUUUUGGUUCUUGUCCUUGGUCGGGUGACGGACCACCCACAAGAACUGUUGACCGCUCCUCUCCAGCCCCGUGGCUAUUUCCGUCAACUAUUCCACCGAGAACACGCCAAAGCCCCCGAAACACAGGAACACGACGCUCCCUCUUGGCUGCGAGUUCAGCCACGUGAGAGAUCUAGCGAUCUGCCAUUGUCAUCUCCCUUGCUAGAGAUCAGUGACCCGAUGCAGUAAAGCCGUUCUGUGGGCUCGCCGGGCACACACUCGCCGUUCAAGAUGGCUCGUAUAGCUCUGGGCUGCGUGCUUUUUGAAGUCGUUGACUAUGAUCCCAGCAGAAGUCUGCAUCUCCAGGGAUGAGUAGGCCUUGUCAUAGCGAUCCUGCAUUGGCUUCGCAACAUCAGAGGGCGGUAUAGGCGGUGAGCCCGGGACAUCUAUGGGGGCGUCAAAGUCUUUAAAGCUCUUGGCAAACUUGUCGUGAAAAGUUGGGACGUAAAGGAAGAAGUUUAGGUAGCCGGCGCCCGAAGUGAAGAAUCAGUUGCAGGGGAUGUUGAGCUUGCGUGUGGUGGCGAUAGCAGUGACGCAGAAGAAGUCGAUGAUGAGGCCGUGAACGACAUGGUUUUCGGAGAUAGAGGUGAGGACGCGGCGGACAUUGGGGUUGUUGAGGCGGAGGAGCUCGUUGGCGAGGGUCUUAUAGUUGGGGGAGUUGGUGGAGAAGUUGGGGGUAGGGUGGUGGCAGGGAAGUAGUGGAAGGCAAUGGAGGGGACAGUGUCAGAGACAGAGGCGAUGUAGGCGGUAGUGGAGCCGGUGUCGUACGCUUGGUUGGUGCCGAGGAUGUGGAUGGAGAGGGAAGGGCGGUGGGUGAGGAGGAGCUUGCCGAGCUCCACCAAGGCGAUGAGGUGGCUGAUGGCCGGUGAAGGAUAAAGCACGAUUGCUUCCUUCAUUGUUUGGGUUUUGUUGGUGUUGCUGGAACGACGAUGGAGCUCCCUGAGACUGAGGGUUUUAGUGAGAUUGGUUUGUUUCUUUUUAGUCUGGUUCACAAUUAGUCUUCUCGAGAUCGAAGUAUAUUUGAUGCGUGAGGGAACGGCUGACACAAUCAGUUGAAAAUUUACUUAUGUGAGGUUAAAGUAUCGGCCCGAUAGAGCUUUAAACGUGGAGAAAUUUUGAUAUGAGUGCAAUGUGUAUAAUAAAAUUGGAUCUGGAAUAUUGUAAAUAAAUAACUAUUUUCAAUAAAACUUUGAAUCAAAUAGCAUCUCUUUGGAAACAUUUAUAUCGAUUGACAGACAUGCUGGGUAAAAAGAGAAAAUGACUGGAAAUUGUUUAUAUGAAAUGUGAUAAAGAAAAUUAGUCAUAAUAUUAUGAAGUACAAAUACGUUAUUACGUUAAUGAUGAUUAUAAUGUAACCGAAGAUGUAAUUUGUAACGCAUUUCUUAUAUAUAUUAUUUAAUUUCUAAGGAUGCUUAUGAAUUACUUUUCGGACAAUUCAAUAAUCAAUCAUAGUGAAUCAUAUUUAAGUUUAGAAGCUAAACAUCAUCAUUAAACAUUUUGCCAAAUUUCAUAAUCAUUAAAGUAAGAGAUAAGUGCACUGAAAAUCUUAAAAUUUAUAACUAGUCCUAAAACUUUUAAAAAAUACAAUUAAAUCCCAAAACAACUGAUAAUUGCUAUGAUUGGUGCAAUCGAGGCAUCCAUUAACAUUUAGACAAAUUGACGAUGUUACAUAAUGACUCAAUUGUACCAAUUUGUCAAGUUUUAGGACUUGAUUGCGUUUUACGAAAGUUUUAAAAUUCAAUUAUACUUUUACAACAAGUUUGAGAACUUUCAAUACUCUCAUCCUUUAAUCAAAAGCAAACAUUUUUUCUCUUUCUCAUCAAAACUUAAAAUGUUAUUUAAAUGUCAAAAUGUUAUGAAAAAUGCAUACUUUAAUUUUCGUGCCAACAAUUAUAUACUAUGACGACUUCAAAUCUUGUGAAUUAAAAAAAUAUUCAAAUUGUGUGAGUUGCAAGAUAUUGAUUAAAAAAGAAAAGAAAAUACUAGAUGCCCCCGUAUCUCUUACACAAGGGAUGGUCGUGAACAAUAUAUUCAAGUUUUGUAAAAGAUAUCUUCAAUUUUACAUUUAGGCUCCAUUUAUUUAGCGAAAAAAUAGAUGAUUUGGACACAUUUUCUAAAAAUAAUCACUUAUAUCAGUUUAAAAAAUAAAUGAACAAGAAAUGUUUCCAUUGUUUACAAAAAAUUUUACACAUAAAUUAUUGACAUUUUUUAUCGGCUAGUUAUUUCAAAAAAUACAAGAGAACCCCAUGCUUUUUGUAACAUAAAAGGGGAGGUGAUUUAAUAUUAGUCGCAAUCCUCAUGCUUUUUGUAAUUAUCCCUUAACAAAAUUUGUCUCUAUGGCAUCAUGUAUGCUAUGCAUGCGCUAACGUAGAGAGAUGCCAAUAACUUUCUAACAUCAUAUGAAAACUUAGGCUUUGUCCUAGUAAAUUUUGCGUGUGCCUCUAUUUCAUUCAUAAAAUUUCACGUGUCAUUCUUAAUUCUUUUUGCUUGUGAGAGGGAAUGUAGAAAUAUCCGAGACCCCUUGACUUGCGGAUUUAAUUGAAUUACUACUUUUAUACAUAUGGUAUCAAUUUAAGUUUUUGGAUUGGACUCGGCUUUUUAAGGCUUUGAUUGCUGCAAUUUCAAAUGAAGCACUGGAAAAAUAAUGUGAGGGAUUAAAAUUUUGGGUAUGUUUGUUUGGGAGAAAACUCUAUGAUAAAAGAAAAUACUUUUUGGAAAAUUAUUUAUUGGGAAAAUGGUUAGUUCUCCUUUGUUUGAUGAUAUAUGAUCAAAAAUGUUUUCUUUGUUUAGAUCUCAUUUGGAAAAUGAGAAAAUGACAAUCUCAUUAGUCUGCCCGUGAACGCGCUCAUAACUUGCCCUCCUAGCUCAGCAAUGACUUGUCUCCCCCCUUAGCCCAUGCCUCUGAGAAAAUAUUGAGUGCCUUUCAAGUGCCAAUGUGGCAAAUAAGAAGGCUUUUAAGAGUGCAACACGUGUCGCGUAUGGGGCCCAAUUUUCAGGGCAUUAAAAGCUCCACUCUCUCUCUCUCUCUCUCUAUGUUUGCCCCCUACAAUGCACGCUCUCUAUCUCACCCAUGUUGAAGCAGAGGCGGAGGCCGCCCGGUUGUUCGUCAUACGAGCCAUUGCGCCCUCGCAGAUCUUCGAACCACUGCACCCAACCAAUGAACUCCACGGUGACGGAAGAGGCAACCUUUUGAGGUGGGGGUAGAGACGUGUAAAGGUUCGUCAAACAAGCCACCGCACUCAACCGACGAACUUUGCGACGGUGGAGGCAACUUCAAGGCAGAACCGUGCGGUGAUGAAAGAGCAUUGACACAAAAAGAAGAAGAAGAAAGAAAGAAAAUGAAAUGAUGGCUUCUUUGUCACUCCACUAUGGACUUUGCUUCUUGACUUGUAUGAACAUAAUGAAUGAAUUGAGUAUAAGAUGCGAAAACGCAACCCCAAAAUCUCCAUAACUAUAAUAAAAAAUUCAUAUAAACAAGUAAAGAGAUUUACGUACCUAAUUUGGACUAUUGUUCUUGAUGCGAAAUAACAACGAUCCAAACUCAAGAACUUCUCUUUCAUUGUCCUUUGUAUAGCUUAAUGAAAUAGUCUCUCACCCUUAAUGAAUUAGUAAACGCUCAUCUAUGAGGAUAAUUAUGUAUGUUAAAGUUAGAGGAAAGAUUUCCAAUUAGGCCUUAUCAUUACGAGUUAGGUUUAACUCGGCCCAUAUUAGCCAACUUCAUAUUAGAAUAAUUAAAAAGCAUUCCAUCUCAUCUUUGAUCAAUCUCAUAAAACAAUAAAUUAUAAUAUCAAUUACUGCAGUUCAUAUUAGAAAAACUCUUACAUCGAGGUCUUGUCUUCUGUGCUUCGCCAUUGCUCAUGAAGCUCCUCAAUGGGGUUAGGAUUUGUGGGGGAAGAGCAAGAUGGGGAGGGAAGGAGGUUGGGUUCCACGUAAAGAGAAAUUCUCAUAAUGUGUUUUCACAUCUUUAGAUUGAGGAAUUCACUUUUCUAAUUUUAUGCAUAAAUGUUUUCUUUAAUCAAAAUGCGUUUUCAAUUAACUAGUAAUUUAUUGCAAACCAAAUAGGUGAAAAUCUAAAAAAUUAACUUUUAAAAAGUAUUUUCAAUCAAACAAAUACACGUUUUGAUUAUUACAUUGUUUUGUAAGGUACUAUGAUAAAACUCUCGGACGUCUACAAUUAUAAGUAUGAUGUGUUUAAAUAUCCAAUAAGCUAAGUAGCACCGAUGUCAACACGCGACGCGACACGACACGACACAAUACGAUACAUUGACACAUCGUUUAUAAAAAAAAAAAAAUAGAAAAUUCCAACACGUUAGGGCACGUAUAUUAAAUAUAUAUUUUUAUAUAUACAUAAUAAAUUAUUAUUUUUACGAUUAUUUCAAUCAAAUUAAUUUGAUUCAAAUUCAUAAAUAAAUAAAUAAAAACCUAGAAUUAAUUUACACUAAAAAAUAUAAAUCUACCAUUUAUUAAUAUCAUAUAUUAUUUCCAUUUGACAAAUUUAACUCCAUUUUAAUAAUUCAUAAAACUUGAAAAAAAAAAAAAGCAAAUAAUUCACAUUCUAGACUCGUGUAUCAAACGUAUCAGAAGAAAAGAGAAAAAAAAAACUUGGGAGUUGAAUUAUGUAUCACAAAAAGUGAAAGUCCGAAGAGAAGAGAAAAUAAAUUUUUCUUUUUUUCUUGUUUAUUAUUAUUAUUAUUAUUAUUAUUAUUAUUAUUAUUUAUUUUUUCAUAUAUAUACAUUUUGACUCCUCAUUUAUAAAUUCUUUUUUAAAUUAACAUCACGUGUCGAGAACUCAAAUGUCGAAAUUCCGAUUAGAGUGUCGAAGAGUGUUGGGAAAAUUGAUCAAAUGUAGGAUUUUUCGACACGUGUUAAUCGAGUGUCGCAGAGUAUUAGAUACGUAUCGGAGUGUCUAACAUGACACGAUAACUCUAAAAAGGUAUUGGCGCUUCUUAGCCAAUAAAUAAAUAAAAAAAAUAUGUAUUGCACCAAUUUAUAUGUGAGUUUUGUAAAUUAAUUCAAAUAAGUGACUCUUUACCAAAUUUUUUUUUACCUUUACCAAAAAAAAAAAAUUCAAAUAAGUGACUUUCACCAAUGAUUGCGGGGUUGAUUUUAGUGGCCUGGACUGGCUCGAGUAAGGAGUAGAGAAAGGCUGCCAAAGGAAAAAGGUAACGGGUGCUGGCAAUCGUCCACUUAUGUUGUCGGAAAAUUUGUGAUGUGACGCGAAGAAAGUUGUGGAAAAUGGUUGGCCUAAUCAUGAUGGAAAACGGACAAUCAACUGCUAAGUCACACAUUUUUCAUGAAUUUUGCUUGCAAAUUUCGACACCCUUGCGUUGGAGAAAAGACAUUUCGUGGCCAUCCUUUUUUUGGUCAAACAUGGCAUCCUUUGACUGUUAGUAAUACCCCAAAGUUUUCGAAUGUAGACAUGCAUGUGUCUAUAGUUAGCUAAGUUUUAUCCACAUAUUAUAUCAACGUCUGUCUACGUUAAUUAAAAUUUUCCACACUUGCCUACUUUUGUAAACUUGGUCGAAUUUGAAGUCACACGGAUUUUAUAAAUAAAAUUUGUAAAUGUAAAAGGAGUUAAAAAAAUAAAAUUAAGAAAACUUAAUUAGAAAAAAAUAAGAGUAUGGGGACAAAAAAAAAAUCUUGUGAAGACUUCGGGCAUAUACUUUUACGGCCGAGGGACCGUUCAAGAUUUACUCAUAAAUGCGAAAUCCGUGCUUAGCAAGAAUUCCUUAACUUGCUCAAAUAUCUAAGAAUCAUAGCUUGCAAUGUUGUAAACGGGUACGUGACCGCAUACUAGUUGUUAUAAAAUCACAUCAUUUUCACAAAUGCAAAGAGAUACCGUAUAAUAUAUUGCAUGGUCUUGGAUAUUCUAGUGCUCUUUACACAAAAUAAUAAUAAUAAUAAUAAUAAUAAUAAUAAUAAUAAUAAUAAUAAUAAUAAUAAUAAUAAACAAUAGAGUGAAUCGUGGAUGAAACUAGAAACGAGUUACUCGCACUAAACUCACCGUUUAAGAGCUUGUUUGUUUUCCAAUUCAGCUAAAGCAGCAAAUAAUUUUACUUCCACACCAAAUUGAAAAAUAAUAUCCAAAUUUUGAUGAAAUUACCCACAUAAAAAAAAAUAUAUCACUUGUAAAUCUACACGUCGAUAUUUAUAUAAUUUGGAAGUUUCGACUCUUUUGAGCUAAAAAAGAGUCGAUACAUGAGCUCCGUGGGAUUUAGAUUUAAUAGGUUGAGAAAAUUAAUUCAGACACGUGUUAAGUCUUUAGUUCUUGAUAGAACGAUGUUACACGGAUCAAGGAACCUUAUUAAAUCGUCUUACCAAGCGACAAGACACUGAUGCUAGAAUGGCACGUACUUCAAAACCCAAUUUUUAAAGGGGUAAAAAACUCUUAAUAAAUUUUCUUCGUGCAACUGCUAUUUUUCACCUUAUUGAUGCAGAUGCUGGAUGCUACUACAUCCCACCUACUCACUCCCGCUUCCACGACUCGACGAGAUUACUCAGUUCAACGCUGGACGACCCGCCCGGACUCAGAGCAGCCUUCGCUUCCUCCUUCAAAGACUUCACUCGUUCCCUUAUGAUCUCACCCUCCUCCGACUCCAUCAGCUCCCUGACUCGCUUCUCCACCUCCUCCGAACUCACCAGCCCGCUCUCCGACUCGUUAACUGGCAGGGCGAUCUUGAUUUCCUCCACCAUCAGCCCUUUGUUCUGCCGCUGCUCCGCGUAGAGCGGCCACGCCACCAUCGGCACGCCGGCGCACACUGCCUCGAGCACCGAGUUCCACCCGCAGUGAGUCACGAACCCGCCCACCGAGCUGUGGCUCAGCACCUCCACCUGCGGCGCCCACGUUUUCACCACCAGGCCCCUCUCCCCUGUCCGCUCCAAGAAGCCCUCUGGCAGAAGCGAGCUCAGUUCCGGGUCGGGCAUCGCUGACGUGGCGGUCUUCUGGUCUGCAUCACGUGGGGGGUUGCGGACCACCCACAAGAACCGCUGGCCACUCCUCUCCAACCCUGUCGCUAUUCCCUUCAAUUGUUCAACCGAGAAAACACCCAAGCUUCCGAAACACAAGAACACGAUGCUUCCUUUAGGCUGCGAGUCCAGCCACGUCAGACAAUCCGACCUGCCGGUGCUGCUGCCCUCUUUCUUUCCCUCUCCGCUUGUGAUCAGCGGCCCGAUGCAGUACAGCGGAGGCGUGGGCCCGUCGGGCACGCACUCUCCGUCCCUGAUCGCUCGCACCGCCCUGGGCUCGAGCUUCUCGAACGUGUUGAUUAUGAUCCCGGCAGACGUGGCCAUGUUCUUGGAGCCCUCGAGGAAGAGCUCAUAAGCCCUGUCGUUGCGGUCUUGCACCGGCUUCGCGAUGUCGGAGGACGGCAAGGGCGGGGUCCCCGGGACAUGAAGAACGGCGUUGAGGUCCUUGUAGCUCUUGGUGUACAGCUUGUGAAGAGUUGGGAAAUAUAAGAACGCGGUCAAGACGCUCGCGCCGGAAGUGAAGAAGUAGUAACAAGGGAUGCUCAGCUCACGUGCGACGCUCAGAGCUGAAGCGCAGAAGAAGUCGAUGAUGAGGCCGUGAACGAUGUGGUUCUUGGAGAUGGAGGUGAGGGUGGCGUGGACGUUGGGGUUGUUGAGACGGAGGAGCUCGAGGGCGAGGGUCUCGUGGUGGGGGGAGGUGGUGGAGAAGUCCGGUGGGAGGGAGGUGGGGGGGAGGUGGUGGAAGGCGAUGGAGGGGCAGGCGGUGGAGACGGAGGCGAUGUAGGAGGUGGUGGAGCCGGCGUUGUAGGCCUGGCUGGUGAUGAGGACGUGGAUGGAGAGGGAAGGGCGGUGGGAGAGCAGGAGCUUGCCCAGCUCCACCAUGGAGAUGAGGUGGCCGAUGGCCGGCGAUGGAUAUAGCACCACUGCCUCCUCCAUCUGACGCGUACGAGAAAAGCGGUGGAGAGAGAGAGAGAGAGAGAGAGAGAGAGAG
rnacentral:lncRNA from 1 species